UGAUAUUAAAUUGAGUAGUUUAUACAUGUUGGACUUGAAAUGUGAAUUAGGAGAAAACCUGCGAUUUGGACCUGUCACAUGUUUAAACUGCCUGAUUUAGCUCUAGGAGCCGUUAUAAAAUUGUACUGUCGCUGUAUUCUCGAGACGAGUACUUCAGGUAGUUUAGAAUACAUUUACGCUCGUGCUGGUACGCCGAGUGAAUUUUUACAGGGUCGUUUGUGCUGUUUCCAGACUGUUGGGUGCCGUCGGGGUUGACGGUGGACCCGUAUCGUCUUUUUGGCGUUGGAUUGUGCCGAGGGCACGUUACCUGUUGGUUGUUAGACCAGUUUGAGUCGGUCAUUGGACUUUGGCUUUCAAGAGCCUGAUUGAGCUCGACAGAGAUACGCUGCAUACUCGGUUGGGUAGCGCCCACGAGUGCCACUCCGGAGACGGGCUUUGUGCUUUCGCGUUGGUGUCGCUCAUGCCGGUUGGACUUGCUCUCCACGGACCAGUUAGUGUGGAGGUAGCUGGAUAGUCGCAACUGGGCAGGGACGGGUGUAUUCACAGUCCCAGGGACGGGUAUGUUUACAGUCCCGAUUGGAUUGUGUCAGAUUUGUCAUUUCCUACAGUUGGUUAGUGUAGAGCAUGAUAGUGUAGUGAUUGAUAGCCGUAGAGUUUAUUUCCUAUUUUUCUAACUAUUCUUGCUCCCUUCUGUAGACUUAGUGGGUGGACCGAUAUUGUUUUGGGCUGUUCCCACUGAGGACUACUUGUUUUUACAGUAGUUCAGACUUAGUGGGUGGACCGAUGGUGUUUUGGGCGGUACCCACUGAGGACUACUUGUUUUUACAGUAGUUCAGACUUAGUGGGUGGACCGAUGGUGUUUUGGGCGGUACCCACUGAGGACUACUUGUUUUUACAGUAGUUCAGACUUAGUGGGUGGACCGAUGGUGUUUUGGGCGGUACCCACUGAGGACUACUUGUUUUUACAGUAGUUCUCACGCCCAGUUGUUACCCCUGUUUUGCAGAGCCACAGGUUUCGGCUGCUGCGCCUUCCGCGGAUCAGGAUCGAGGCAAGGGCGUCGCGAGUUAGAGCCCUACCCGACGAGCAGAGCUAGAGGCACCCCUACUGCAGGUAGAUGUUUUGUUUCGAGUUUAUGUACAUAGUUUACCUAACUCGCCAGUGCGAGUAACUCUGUAUUUUGGAUUUGAGCUAUGUAUAUGAAACUCAAUUUGUUUAGCUUUUGUUUUCUCUAGCAGCUCUAUACUACUGUUUGUAGUAUUGUAUGUUUACAGGUACAGCUGUCGCUUCGUGUACAGAGAAAACUCCUUUGUAUACGGCGGGUUUGUCGGCGUGCCCGGGGAACGAGACAUCCGGGGCGUGACAUUUAUUCUUUUAUAUUUGUGUGUAAAACGGGGGCCGUUGAAUGGAUAUCUUUAUUACAAGGACAAACUAUAAUAAGGAAUUUUAUAUAUGCGGAGCACUAAAAAAGAGUUUAAGAGGGGAAAAAGUCAAAACUUUUAAUGGAAUUUUCAUAGGUUCCGUUAACUGUAACAUUUUUGCCUUGGAUAUUAUUGUAAAAUGUAACUUAGCGCAAAAGAAUUUAUAUGAACAAUUUAAAAGUUAAGCAUAUUUUUUUUGAAAUUACUCAAAAUAUUAAGGAUGUACAUACAUUUUUCCAAUUUAAAAAAGAUGGCAAGUAUAAAGAGGAAUCAAUUAAUGAGAACGUGACGAUCCUCCAAUGAAUUCUAACACAAAUGACCAAAAGGAUAUCCAUUCUUUAAUUAAUUUGUGUUGGAAAUAAUAGGGCAGUUGAAACUUACGAACCGAAUAGCCAACGUAUUCGGGAACCCAAAUCGGAUUAGAUUACUUAUUUUACAAGCCUUCUUGAAUCGUCCUUAUCUUGAUGCUUCUGGAUCUCCCACGUUUCACGCCUUCUCCUACGCCUAUGCCUCACGUUACGGAUCGGAUGCGUCGAAUGUGUUGGAUGCAUUGAAGAGGGCUACCAGAGUCCUCUUCUAUGUCCACACUCCAAAACCUCGGAAACGUAGGUGGAAAUCCCAGGGAGGAAGAAGAGAGAAGAAGGAAGAUUUUUCGUAUUCAAUCAUAUUCGUUCAUCUCUCUUUUGGAGAGAAAAGUGGCGUAUUUAUAGAAUAACGAAACCCCUAAAUAUCCUGAAUCCUACAAGGAUUAGGAUAAGGAUCGGGAUAUCUAUUAACAUAUAAUAGAUAUCCACAAGUACAUUUGUUUCUUAACUGAUAAGAAACAUAAGAUUUAUUCUUAUCCUAAACUCAUUAGGAUAAAUCAUGAUCCACGCCUAAUAUAGAUCGGGUUAAAUCAUAAUCCGCCAAUGUGGACACACCAUAUGGCAACAAUCUCCCACUUGGCCAUAUUGGCCAAUUCUCUCUCACUUAUUCAUCUCUUCAUACGGGUAAUAGAGUGUGCGACCUGACAAAAGAAACACAUGCAGGAGUGCUAUAUUAAGUCACCACCUAACUAACAUAGCACUUCACUGACUUAAUUCGUCUAUACCCUAGACGUUCCAACACACACCGGAUCAAGCAUCACAAAGUCCCUCUCCUAUAAUAAUAGGGAUCGAUCCCACCGUUAUUUUUCGUACUCAUAAUUAUCUCAAGUAACACAACCGAGAUAACCGCCCGGGCAAUGAGUCACAAGACUUAAGUGGUGUGUUAUCAAAACAUCUUCCUCAGCCCCUCACGUUAGUCUAUAUUGGUCCAAGCACUUUACUAGAAAUGCUCCGCGAAAUCGUAUUUUCUCAUGACCCUGAGAUACACGCUAAGUUAGUUACUUUGGACCUCCACUUCAUAACGUAGUUCUAAGUCGAUGGUACAAAAAAAAGGUUAGUACUCACACAGUGACAUGGAGCUAGGGAAGAACUUAUGUCACUCUACUAAUUGGUCGACAAUCACAUACAGUAUGAUAUAUAUGUUAUGGCGGAGCUCCCACUCAAUGGGUCAUGUCACGCUCUAAAACGCCAUACGAACAUUGGUCUAGGUACCACUAAGGUAUCUAACAACCACAACUCAAGUCAUCUCUCUAACCUGAGUACUUAGGUUCGGCUACUAUACAGGCUCGACAUGAAAUUUUACAAAAACUUUCAUAUCCAACUCUUUAGAGUCUCAUCUUAAACUAAUUAAGGCGACUUUAAAUUAUAUCAACACUUCAUUCAUAACAUAUAUGAACAAAGUAAUCAUAUUACAACUACUCAAGUUUAAUAUGAUUAUUUAGUCUCAUCCUGCUCACCACUUAGGUGCCAGGGCGAUCACCCGUGUGAGUGGGCUGAUCUGAGCCUGGUGAGUUGUCGAAUAUGUGCCUACUAUUAUCAAUUACGCAAUCUCAUUAAGAAGAAAAACAUAUUUUUAUUAAUAAAGCGUAAGAUACAAAAUAAUGUCCAUAUCAAAACCUACGAAGACCCAAACUCUCAACGUCGGUCAGGGACAUAUCCCUAGCUAUCGGCUUGGUCAACGGAUCAGCCACUAUCCUACUGGUGGAGAUAUGUCUAAGAAUGACCUCGCCUAGCUUAAUCAUCUCUCGAAUGUAGUGAAACCGGAUAUCAAUAUGCUUGGUCCUGCCAUGAUACUUUGGAUCUUUCACAUACUACAUGGCAGCUAUGCUGUCAGAGAACAUCUCAACAAGCUUAUCAGCUCGAUUCACAAAGUCGAGGUGCUGGAGAAAUCUCCUCAGCGAAAAAACAGCCUCCUAAACGGCUGCUAAUCAAGCAACAUUUUCUGCUUCCAUAGUAGACAAGGCAACGCAUCCUUACUUCUUACUGUACUAGGAAAUUGCCUCACCUCCAAGCACAUAGCCUGAGGUGGACCUGCACUUAUCUCUAUCACCGCCCCAAUCAGCAUCACUAUAUCCUUUCAAUCUCAAGUCCCCACCUUGAAAAUAGAGAACGAGAUCACCGGUUCUUUUUACAUAUCGAAGGAUUCUCUUGACUGCUUGCCACUGAAUAGGUCCUGGGUUGCUCUGGUAACGACUUACCAAGCUAACAGCAAAGCAAAUGUCAGGUCGAGUACACAUCAUAGCGUACAUCAAGCUGCCAAUUGCACUCGCAUAAGGAACUCUACUCAUUUGCUCAUUUUCUUUAUCCGUUUUAAGGCACUGAUCUAGACUCAGAGUGUGAUUCUUUUCCACUGGAGUGUCAACGGGUUUACAAUGAUGCAUCCUAAAACGCUCCAGAACCUUUUUAAUAUAAGCUUCUUGAGACAAACUAAGAAGCUUUCUAGAACGAUCACGGAUGACCUUCACUGUAAGCACAUAGCUCGCCUCACCCAUGUCUUUCAUUUCAAAAUUGAAAGACAACCAUUCCUUAGUGGUGUUGAUUAACUCCAUGUCAUUUCCAGCCAAUAGUAUAUCGUUGACGUAUAGAGAGAGAAACAAAAUUUCAUUCUCUGUCUUCUUGACAUAUACAUAGUGGUCCUACUCUAUCAUGAACAUACCGAUAGAGGUGAUGGCUUCAUGAAACCUGAAAUACCAUUGUCUCGAUGACUGCUUGAGACCAUAAAUGGAUCUUUUAAGAUGACAAACUUUGUCUUCUUCACCUUUUAGUAUAAAACCCUCAGGUUGAUCCAUAUAGAUCUCCUCUGCUAAUUCUCCAUUGAGAAAAGCUAUCUUGACACCUAUUUGGAACAAUUCCAAAUCUAGGUGUGCCACUAAGACUAGAAUCAAACGAAUAGAGGCAAAUCGCACAACGGGAGCAAACGUCUCGUUGUGAUCUACCCCUUGCCUCUGAGUAUAGCUCUUGGCCACGAGCCGAGCCAUGUACUUAUCGGUUGAUCCAUCCACUUUGCGCUUAAUUUUUAAAACCCAUUUAUUUUCAAUAGACUUGCGCCCAGACGGAAGGUCAACUAAUUCCCAUACAUGGUUCUUACUCAUGGAGUCCAUCUCAUCUUUCAUACCAAUCAUCCACUCACUGCAAGCUAAUGUCUGUAGUGCUUCUUUAUAGGAAGCAGGCUCAUCAUCAUCGAGCGGAGUGCACAUGAAAAUAUCCCCUUCGAUCUCAAAAUGUCGGCGGGGAAUAUGUCUACAUUCACUUCUACGCAAUGGAGGGUCUGAACUGCCGACUUCUAAGGGUAUGCUCUCACUCAAAGAAGCGCUCCCACUAGCCGGAGGAUCGCUACCUAGGGGUGGAAACGAGCCGAGCUCGAGCGAGCUUACCUCGGCUCAAAUUCGGCUUGAAAUUAAUUUCGAGCCUAAAUUUAAGCUCAAGCUUGGAUUGAAAUUAUUUCGAGCCGAACUCGAGCGAGCCUAAUUUCUAAUCGAGCGAGCUCGAGCCCUAAACGAGCUGCUUGAAAUUCUCAACAUCAUACGAUCAAUAAUUUAAUUUGUAUAGAACAUUAUCUAUAAUUUGAUACAAAAAUAUGUCUAAUAGUUCAAAGUAUAAAAUAAUUAUAUAAAAUAUAGUAUUAUAAUAUGAAGAAAAAAAAAUUAUGAGUUGAAUAUCUAAUCUUUUUUCAGGCUCACAAUGUCUUUUCUUACGCUCUCAAUUCUCCAAUUAUUCACUUCAUUAUUACAGUCAAAAUAAAAUAAAUUAUUAUUAGAUAAAAUAUUGGAUUAAAUAUCCAAUCAUAUAUAACUAAAAUUAAAAUUUAUAUGAAUAUAAUUUUUUACUUUAAAAAUUUCUGUAUUUUUUCUCAAGCAUACAUAUUAAAGCAAAUAGCAACGGCAGACAUAUACUACUACUUGGUAACGUUAGGGGAUUUCACCGCUUGGCCACCAUAGGGUGAAAUACAGAAAAAAGAGAAAUAGAGAAAUAUAUGAAAAAUAUGAGCCUCAAGUGAAAGAAGAAGAAAGAAAUAUGUAUAAAUUUAGUAAAAUUUUGCUCUUUAUUUGUCCUAUUGGGUUUGUUUUAUCGGCCAAUCGUAUUAUUGCCCCAAUUAACUAAACUCUCAGAAUUAUUCAUUGAUCCUAUAUAUAAGUAAGAUAUAAAUUAAGUUUCAUAAUAUUUUUUAAUACUAUAUAUAUACAUAUAUAUUAUAUAUAUAUAUAUAUAUAUAUAUAUAUAUAUAUAUAUAUAUAAUCUACACGCUCCUAUGCUUUCGAAAGUACAGAGGCCUCUGUGCUUGUAAGUUAUUUUCAAUGAUGGGAUGUCCAAUUCGGCGAUCGGUUUCAUUAGACAUGAUCUACGCUAUUAGAACUAUCUAGAAACCAAAUUUCAUAAUUUUUUAAUUUUGUUUGCCUAGUGAACGAGUAGCCUCAAAAUGAACGAUUGAAAAUAAAAAUCUCAUAAAAAAUAAUAAUAAAGGGCUCAAAUUUCAAAUCGAAAGUAUUGUUCUUACUCUUGAUGUUAAGUAAAAUUUUCUAUUAAGUUUAAUGUAAUUUGGAUACUUCUACACCGUUGAACUUAAAAACGUGCCACAUCGGCCGUUAAAAUAGUUAUUUUUGAGACCCUCUGAUCGCUUGGUAAAUAAAGUCGAAAAAUUAUAAAAUUUGGUUUCUAAAUAGUUCCAAUAGCAUAGAUUGUGCCUAACGGAGCCGAUCGUCGAAUCGGAUGUCCUAUCAUCGAAAACAACUUACAAGCACGAAGGCCUCUGUACUUUCGAAAGCACGGGAGACGCACUAUAUAUAUAUAUAUAUAUAUAUAUAUAUAUAUAUAUAUAUAUAUAUAUAUAUAUAUAUAUAUAUAUNAUAGCUCGCCUCACCCAUGUCUUUCAUUUCAAAAUUGAAAGACAACCAUUCCUUAAUGGUGUUGAUUAACUCCAUGUCAUUUCCAGCCAAUAGUAUAUCGUCGACGUAUAGAGAGAGAAACAAAAUUCUAUUCUCUGUCUUCUUGACAUAUACACAGUGGUCCUACUCUAUCAUGAACAUACCGAUAGAGGUGAUGGCUUCAUGAAACCUGAAAUACCAUUGUCUCGACGACUGCUUGAGACCAUAAAUGGAUCUUUUAAGAUGACAAACUUUGUCUUCUUGACCUUUUAGUAUAAAACCCUCAAGUUGAUCCAUAUAGAUCUCCUCUGCUAAUUUUUCAUUGAGAAAAGCUGUCUUGACAUCUAUUUGGAACAAUUCCAAAUUUAGGUGUGCCACUAAGGCUAGAAUCAAACGAAUAGAGGCAAAUCGCACAACGGGAGCAAACGUCUCGUUGUGAUCUACCCCUUGCCUCUGAGUAUAGCUCUUGGCCACGAGCCGAGCCUUAUACUUAUCGGUUGAUCCAUCCGUUUUGCGCUUAAUUUUUAAAACCCAUUUAUUUCAAAUAGACUUGCGCCCAGACGGAAGGUCAAGUAAUUCCCAUACAUGGUUCUUACUCAUGGGGUCCAUCUCAUCUUUCAUAGCAGUCAUCCACUCACUGUAAGCUAAUGUCUGUAGUGCUUUUUUAUAGGAAGCAGGCUCAUCAUCAUCGAGCGGAGUGCACAUGAAAAUAUCCCCUUCGAUCUCAAAAUAUCGGCGGGGAUAUGUCUACGUUCACUUCUACGCAAUGGAGGGUCUGAACUGCCGACUUCUAAGGGUAUGCUCUCACUCAAAGAAGCGCUCCCACUAGCCGGAGGAUCGCUACCACUUCCUUCAGCGACUUCGGGAAGUGAUCGAUCACCCUCAAUCGCAGAUGGGGUGGCGUCGUCCUGUAACUCAUACAAUCCAACGUCUCUUCGCAUUUCACCAAUGCUUGGAAAAUCCCCUUGUAGGAAUUCCACAUCACGAGACUCAAUCUCGGUCAUACCACCAUCUCGGUGUUCACCAAAUAUCACAUAGCCUUUCAAAUUUUCAGGGUAUCUGAUGAACACAUGCUUGCUCGCUUUAGGGUCUAGUUUUUCGAAUCUAUAUGAGGGGUUGUGAACAUAUCCAGCUGAACCCCAGGGGCGUAAGUAGUGUAAACUUGGUUUUCUACCGCUCCAUAACUCAUAUGGGGUAGUUGGCAAUGAUUUGCUAGGGACUCGAUUAAGGAUGUAGGCUGCAGUCAAAAAAGCAUCUCCUCAAAAACUUAUGGGAAGUUGCGCUUGUGCCAUCAUCGACUGUAAUACACUGAACUUCGGCAAACUGUGAAUCUGAGGGUUGGAAUAGUGAUUGAAACUCUUCUACAACUUUUGUAGGAUUGUUGAGAGGCUUCAGCAAAUUACUGGAGCAAGCAGAUAUCUGGAAAUGGAAAAGUGCAUUGCAAGUGCAUUAUUCUAUUGCAAUACUUUGAAAUUGGUCAAUUACGAAGUUCGAAUGUGGGAAAUGGUAAAUGAAACUGCCUACAUAUUCUAAAGGGUUUGGACAAGUUUUUGGAUAAGUUAGAGAGUGAUUGGAUGGCUAAAAGUAAGAAGACGCAUUGUUGUGGCUUUUUCUCGAAUUUUUGUAUUGUGUACCGGUACAACAUCAAUGCUGUACCGGUACAGCAAGCAGCAGUGGCAGCAGCUGCGUGGCAGCAGGGAGAAUUUGGUUGUUUCACUACCUAAGCUUAUCUACAAGCACCUUGCUCGACCCCAGAUGUUCAGAUAAACAUGCUGGAGUUCUGAAAAAGCUUCUCCCACCUCCUCCCUCUUUCUCUCUCUAGGGUUUUUCUCUCUCUACGAGAAAGUCGCCGAUUCGCGUCGAUUUCGCGUUCCGCUUGAUGUUUGCUGACCUGGAGACUUGAAGGAAGCUCUUGGAACGUGGGGAGGUGGUGUUUCACUGAGUUUUUCGUGAGUAUAUCAUCAGAGAAGCUGAAUUUCAGCUGUUGAAAGGUAUAUGGCUUAAAAUCUCUCUAGUUUAAGAUUUAGUAUCGGAUUUUGAAUCGUUUUUAUUCUUUUGCUCCUAGCUGAAUUAAAAGAGAAUUUCAGCAGUAGAAAAAGGUGAUUUGGCUGUGAUUUAUAUAUCUUUCGUUCAGGAAAAAGUUCCUUUAAAGCUUGAUAAAGAUAACUAGUGAGUUAUGACUCUAUUUCGGGAUUAUAUGAAGUCGAAUUGGGUAAAUUGAUACUAUUUGGAAUGAUGUCUUCGCAGCAGGUUUCCGAAGUUAAUUGAGUUUAUUUGGUGACCUUGGAGACUGGUUUAGAAGGUGUCCUAACCUGAGGUAAGCUGGAAUUUCAGUUAGAAACCUAAUUUCACAAGAAUUCGGCUAUAUGAAUUAGUAUACGUGCGUUUUGACGCCGUUUAAUGGUUGUUCGCAGCGAGAGUGCAAUCGACCCUUGGAUUGUCUUCGGCUAGUUUGAGAGAGCCCUUGGAGACUUAUUUCGAGGUACUAAAGGGAACCAAAACAGGAAUUCAAGUUACUAUUUUGUACUAAGUGCGAAUUGUGCCGAAAUUGGACAUUUCGGUUGUAGUAUUGAUGUGAUUUCGUGCUUUGUUUUCAGCAGGAUUGAGACUCCAUUGAGUUGAGUUUCGGGACUUCUUGUGGCUGGAUUGAGCUUAGUGAUAGGUGGGUCUGACCUUUCCGAAAUGGGUGAAUUCUCUCUAUGCCUCCUUUGACAUCUGAGUUGAAGUUAUUCCAUAUUCAUGUGAAUAUAUGUAUAGUUCAGGGCAUUGCGAUAUGCAUUGAUGUGUAAAUCAUAUCGGAUAUGAUAGCAUCUUUAAAUAGUAAUGAAAGAUUCAUGACUUGUUCACUCUACAUGGUUACAUGUUAAAGUACUACGUAUUCAUGAUACUAGUAGCUUGCAUAUGCAAUUUUAGCUUGAUGUUAUCCAAGAGGAUAUAAUGAUAAAUUCGUGAAUGGACUAAUUAGUUCUGUUGAACAACAAAGAGAUUGAUGUAUUUAGGAUUGAGCUAUGCAAUGUUAUAUCGCAAGUAUAAUUGCUAUACUCUGAAAGAUUAGGUAAAGGCCUUUGUUUGCAUAUGCAUUUCUAAUUGUAGAAUGAAUGGCAUAGAGAUCAUGUGAAGAGUAUUUUAUCGCUUGUUUUACUUGCUUGCAUUAUCCUGUUAGUUUCUACUUUCACAUGAUAGACUUAUAUUAUGGUAUAUGUUCUAGUAAGUAACUAAAAUUUCAUAUGAUGGCAUAACUUGAAUGAUUAUUCAAUUGAAUAUAAUCUAGUAAACAACUAGAUUUGGAUAUGAUGACAUACUUGUAUAGUCAAGUAGAGAUUUAUAUUGGACUACAGAAUAUGUGCAAUGAGUCUUUGCACAGAACAUUAGUAAACCACUUUCCUUAUGUGUAAGGAGUAGUGAGAGAUUGUGAAUGACUGACCAGGUAUAGCCUGAUAGAAUCACUAGUGUGAUAUAAAGCCUUAACUUGUCAAGUUAUACUAGUUAUUGGUAGAAUCAUAUCAACAAGUUGUUGAUAGUGACUUAUGAUUGGGUACUACAGUGCCGACCUUGGGUCGAGUUGAGAUAUUUGUACCCUGGACUAUAGCUUGCAUGCCAUUACGCUCUUUCGUACAUGCUUGCGGGGGUCGCGCCCCCCAAGCCCCGCGUUCCGGAGUGGCUUGAGUUGAGAUACCAUGUCAGGGACAUGAUUCUGUUGUGAGAUUGGUACUAUGGACUACGGCUUGCAUGUCAUUGUGCGCGUUCGCACACGCUUGCGGGGUCGCUUCCCCCCAAGCCAGCACUCCCGAACAACUUAGCGAUAGAUGCUCGAAAAUGUACGAAGUGAGCGCUGAAGUGGAAUGCCGUGGGGAGUGUACACUACCACGGGGCCAUUAGGCACGGCGCGGCUUGAACUUACCUUAUGUAAGUCUGUUGGAAAUUGGGUUAUGUCAAGUGCUUUAACCUUAGCUGAACAUAGUAGUAAAAUUACUUUAUGUCUUUGGUUAAGUGAACUUAUUGAUGAACAUACUAGAAAGUUGAUAUCUAAAGUGAGGUUAGUGAUGAAUAAUCUAGAAGUUGACAUCAUGCUUGGUUAGCAACAUUAUGAAUGACAUUAUGUUUCUUUUUUGCUAAUGAAAAAGGUGAUUACAUGAUAUCAUCUGUAAUUUCGGUAAAGUGAAUUAUCUUAUACAAUCUGGUAUAUGUUUGGUUAAAUUGUCAAGUAAUAUGAUUGAUAGAAUCUAUCAUGAUAACUGAUACCUGCAAUCUAUUGAUGUUUAUUUAUUGUUGGGCAAAUAGCAUGAGUAGUUUACUUUCAUAUCUGUUGCAUGUAAUUGCUUAUUGCAUUAUCUGCAUGUACUUGUUUAUUUAUUGCUAUCUACUCAUGCCACAGUUGACCUAGUGGUGUACUUCGCCACUCUAGGCGGCUUACCCACUGGAAAUUAUUGUUUAAUAGUUCUCACGCCCUCUUUGUUGUUGUUUUUACAAAGCCUUUCACCGCGGGAAAGGCUAGGGUUCUUGGCGAGGGGUCUGCGGCUAGCUAGAGCCUUUUUGGACGUGUACCAGAUGACCUCCACCAGUUUAUGUAAUUUAGUACAGAGAUGUAGAUUAAGUUUUUGUAAAUUAUACUUUAUUCUUAUUUCUUGUAUUAAGGUUUGGAUUGUAUAAGUUUAAACUUACAAGUCUUGCUCUGAUUAUUUGGUUAGAAUUAUAUGCUUUUACUAUAUGGUUUGUAGACGCCUUGUGUAUACUUGAGUUGUGGUGUACACGGCGGGUCUGUGCACGCGACCGGAUAUGCUUCCGCUGGUACCCGGGCGUGACAUCGACCUAACCAUGUCUAGUAGAGUACGAUUCCUUCGCUCUACAACACCAUUUUGUUGCGGAGUACCAGGAAUGGUGAGCUGUCUACUAAUGCCCCUUUGCUCACAAUAAGUCUUGAACUGAUCAAACAAGUACUUACGACCUCAUUUAGUGCGAAGCACCUUUACACUUCUUUCUAUUUGAUUCUCAGCCUCUGCAACAAAGCGCUUGAAGCAAUCUAAAGCUUCGGAUCGGCGAGAAAGCAAAUACACAUAUCCAUAGCGGGAAAAAUCUUCAAUGAAUGUGAGAAAAUAGCAAACACCAUGCCGGGCCCUCACAUUCAUUGGCCCACAAAUGUCUGAGUGGAUUAGCUCUAAAGGAUGAGAGGCACGAGUAGCCUUACCGAAAGGCUUUCUAUAUACCUUUCUUGCCAGACAAGGCUAGCACACAGAUUGGUCAACUUUGGCGAGAGACCCCAAAAGGCCUUCUCGAGCCAGUCUAUUCAUUCUUUUUUGACCUAUAUGGCCUAAUCUGGCAUGCCAUUUAACGGAUUCAUCACAGAGAGUAGAAGAAGCAAAUGCAAACGAAUCAUCCUCCAAAUCUAAUUUAAAGAAACCAUCAACUAAUAUACCAUAUCCAAAUAAAGUACCAUAAAAGGAAAUAUCAAGGCGGUCUCUGUCAAAAUGGCUCUACAAAGAUUUUCAACUCCACCACAGGGACUUUGAUUUCAUUUAUUCUGCGCUCCAUUGUUGUGAUACUUCUUGCGCUUGGGUGCAACCCCACUGCGCUUCUCGGAGCGUGCAUCAAGAGCGACAGAACGGUUUGCUUCCAAGCGCUCUGCCUCGAGCUUGAGAUGACGCGAGAUAUCGUUAGACGUUUUAAUGUUCUCGCUAUGCAUCAACAGAAGCUUCAUCUGGGACCAUACAUGAUCAAGCAGUAAACGAAUCACCGCUAGAACUUGUUGCUCAUCAGUGAGCUCGUUUCCAGCAGUUUUAAGGUCCCGAAUCAUGGUGCUCAUCACAUGGAGAUGCUCAACCAUUAAAUAUUUCGGGUCCUCAAUACACUGUUGGAACUUUAUAUUUAAGGCACGUAGCCUCGUGGUUGAAAUUUGCCCAAAAGCAAUCUUCAGAUUGUCCCAUAUGUCCUUGACAGUUUCAAAAGAUCUCAAACUAUCUAAUGAGGUCGUCUUGCAUGGCACACAACACAGUGUACCGAGCAGUUCGAUCAUCCUUCUUGUUAUAUAUCUCUUUUUCAUGUUUAGAAGUGGUGCCUUCGACAGGCAUAACCCUUUUUGACAGAGAGAGAGUUUCGAGAACACCUUGUUCAUUAAGCAGGUAUUGCAUUUUCCUAUGCCAAAUAUCAUAAAUCUUUCCAUCUAGCUUAUCACCCCUAGUGAGAUCAGCUAUGAUGAUUUUGAAAAUUAUUUCACUACAUUCAAAAAUAGGUUUGGACAUUAGGCACAUAUUCCAAAAAAAAAUUAACAAGAUUGGAACAUUAUCCUCGACACAAUGGUAUCGAAAACUUCGCUAUGCUCAUAAUCAUCACCCAGUGUCGGAUCAAAAUGGUACAAUCUCAUUAAUUUUCUAUUAAUUUUGAAACUUAUCCAAAAAUAAAUAUCCAUUUUGAAAGAACACAUCUUUUCUUUGAAAAAUAUUUAUAUAAGGAGAACUUAUCUCAUAAUAUCAUCACACAGAUAAAAAUAAGUACUUAUGCCAAAAUUUAAUUUGAAAAACGUCAACGCUGUGCAAAACACAUUCCUCUACAUGGCCUUAAUUAUUACAUCAUUUUUUGCAUAAUUAAAACCUACUACAUCACUACAAGAUGUACAUCAGAAAAAAUAAUAUUUUACAGCACGCGACGGGCUGGGCCAUGCACCCGCAAGCCUCCCUCACUGCUUCGGGUGCAUGCCCGCACUAGUAGCGGGCCCGUAUGGCGCGCGGGUGCAGGCCUGCAGCCGCAUCGGGCCGGGCCCGCACUGGUGCGCGCGAGUAGCAGCGGGCCGGCCCGUGCGCUGUUGGGGCGGGUGCUCACUGCGCCAUCAGCGGGCCGGGCCUGUGUGAUGCUCGCUGGGCCGCACUCCCGUCCGCAGCAGGCCUAGCCCGCGCGGUCGAGUGCACGCCGCCCCGCAGCGGGCCGGGCCCGCAACGGUGCGUGCCGGUCUGCGCCCGCAGCGUCCGCAGCGGGCCGGGCCCGGCGCGGUGCGUGCGGCCUGCGCCGAACCCGAAGCGCACCGGCAACGAAUAUAUAUAUAUAUAUUAUAAUUAACACAAUGCACAAAAGCGAACUGUCAAGAAAAAUUAAAACAUAUUUUAAUUUUCCUUUUCCUCUUUUAAUUUCAACAAAGAAACCAAAAAAAACUAAAUUAAAAACUGCAUAAAUUACGAUCAAUUUUGAAAAAACUAAUUCAGUUUUCUCUUACCUUCUUUAAUCGAAUUUCACAUAGAAAAACGAAAAAAAUUGUAGAGACUAAUCUACCCAUGAAGAAUUGAUCAGCGAAUGCGAUUUAAAACAUACCAACAUUAUCACAAGGCGAAAACAAGCAUGUAGGCUCUGAUACUAAUUGUUGGAAAUAAUAGGUAGCAGAAACUUACGAACCGGAAUAGCAACGUAUCCGGGAACCCAAAUCGGAUCUGGAUUACUUGUUUUACAAGCUUUCUUGAAUUGUCCUUAUCUGAUACUUCUGUGAUCUCCCACGUUUCACGCCUUCUCCUACGCCUAUGUCUCACGUUACGGAUUCGGUGUGCGUUAAAUGUUUGGAUGCGUUGAAUAGGGCUACCAGAGUCCUCUUCUAUGUUCACACUCCAAAACCUCGGGAACGUAGGUGGAAAUCCUAGGAGGAAGAAUGAGAGAAGAAGGAAAAUUUUUUGUAUUCAAUCAAUUCGUUUAUCUCUCUUUGAGAGAAAAGGGGCGUAUUAUACGAAUAACAAAACCCCUAAAUAUCCGAAUCCUACAAGGAUUAGGAUAAGGAUCGGAAUAUCUAUUAACAUAUAAUAGAUAUCCACAAAUAAAUUUGUUUCUUAACUGAUAAAAAUAUAAUAUUUAUUCUUAUCCUAAACUCAUAUAGGAUAAAUCAUGAUCGCACUAAUAUGGAUCGGAAUUAAAUCAUAAUCCGCCAAUGUGGACAUAGCAUAUGGCAACAAUUUGCAAUAUAUUGCAUAUAUAGUAUUUUAAUUAUUAUUUAUUUGACAUAAAUUGAUUUCAAAUAAAAUAAUAUUUUUAUGUGCUCAUAGAAGUACGUACGUCAAGUUAAGCCAUUAUAUAUAUAUAUAUAUAUAUUAAUAUAUAUAUAUAAUAUAUAUAUAUAUAUAUAUAUAUAUAAUAGCAUUGAGCUGGAAUAGCUAUUAUAGUAAACGCCUUUUUGCUAUCAAGUUUUAAGACCUUUGGAUGAAAAAUUUGAGGUCAGGAUGAUAUUAGUCAGUUAGAGUUAGUAGGUUCCCAGCUAGGGUUGAGUGGUUCCACUCGUUAUAGUUAUUUAAUCCAAUGGUUAGUAAUAAUGAAAAGAGUUGAUCAAAGGCUAAAAACUGGUAGCAACAAUGAGAUUUUGCUACUAAAUAGUAGCUCAGUCCAACUAUGCCAGCUACUAUCCUAUUAAUAGGAUGGAGACCAUCGUCCUAUCAAGUCGUUCUUGACGAUAGAGAUGCCGAAUCGAUGAUCGGAACCAUUAAAGUUGAUCUAGAGUAUUUGAAAUAUCUAGAAACUAAAUUUCAGAAAUUUUAAAAAUUAUUUACAUGGUGAUUAAAGGAUCGUAAAAUCGACAAUUUUUGACGGCCUAUAUCAGUCGUUUGCUUGUUUAACGGUGUAGAGUAGUCCAAACUGCUUGAAUUUUUGAUAGAAAAUUUUUUAUACUAUUUAGAUAAUAUUUGAUAACUCUGAUCAUGAUUUGAGAAAUUUUAAAAUCUAUUUUAAGAAGAUUAUUCAUUUAUGACCGUUCAUUUUUUUGACUCUUCGAUAGACUUGAUAAUGAUUUUCAAAAAUUACAAAAUUCGAUUUUUUAAUAUUUCUUUUAGUGUAGAUCAAUUUUAACGGUGCUGAUUAUCAAUUUGGAGUGUCGAUUAUUCAAAACGACUUGAUAGGACAAUGGUCCCAAUCCUAUUAAUAGGAUAGUAGCCUCUAUAUAUAUAUAUAUAUAGAGUCCNNNNNNNNNNNNNNNNNNNNNNNNNNNNNNNNNNNNNNNNNNNNNNNNNNNNNNNNNNNNNNNNNNNNNNNNNNNNNNNNNNNNNNNNNNNNNNNNNNNNNNNNNNNNNNNNNNNNNNNNNNNNNNNNNNNNNNNNNNNNNNNNNNNNNNNNNNNNNNNNNNNNNNNNNNNNNNNNNNNNNNNNNNNNNNNNNNNNNNNNNNNNNNNNNNNNNNNNNNNNNNNNNNNNNNNNNNNNNNNNNNNNNNNNNNNNNNNNNNNNNNNNNNNNNNNNNNNNNNNNNNNNNNNNNNNNNNNNNNNNNNNNNNNNNNNNNNNNNNNNNNNNNNNNNNNNNNNNNNNNNNNNNNNNNNNNNNNNNNNNNNNNNNNNNNNNNNNNNNNNNNNNNNNNNNNNNNNNNNNNNNNNNNNNNNNNNNNNNNNNNNNNNNNNNNNNNNNNNNNNNNNNNNNNNNNNNNNNNNNNNNNNNNNNNNNNNNNNNNNNNNNNNNNNNNNNNNNNNNNNNNNNNNNNNNNNNNNNNNNNNNNNNNNNNNNNNNNNNNNNNNNNNNNNNNNNNNNNNNNNNNNNNNNNNNNNNNNNNNNNNNNNNNNNNNNNNNNNNNNNNNNNNNNNNNNNNNNNNNNNNNNNNNNNNNNNNNNNNNNNNNNNNNNNNNNNNNNNNNNNNNNNNNNNNNNNNNNNNNNNNNNNNNNNNNNNNNNNNNNNNNNNNNNNNNNNNNNNNNNNNNNNNNNNNNNNNNNNNNNNNNNNNNNNNNNNNNNNNNNNNNNNNNNNNNNNNNNNNNNNNNNNNNNNNNNNNNNNNNNNNNNNNNNNNNNNNNNNNNNNNNNNNNNNNNNNNNNNNNNNNNNNNNNNNNNNNNNNNNNNNNNNNNNNNNNNNNNNNNNNNNNNNNNNNNNNNNNNNNNNNNNNNNNNNNNNNNNNNNNNNNNNNNNNNNNNNNNNNNNNNNNNNNNNNNNNNNNNNNNNNNNNNNNNNNNNNNNNNNNNNNNNNNNNNNNNNNNNNNNNNNNNNNNNNNNNNNNNNNNNNNNNNNNNNNNNNNNNNNNNNNNNNNNNNNNNNNNNNNNNNNNNNNNNNNNNNNNNNNNNNNNNNNNNNNNNNNNNNNNNNNNNNNNNNNNNNNNNNNNNNNNNNNNNNNNNNNNNNNNNNNNNNNNNNNNNNNNNNNNNNNNNNNNNNNNNNNNNNNNNNNNNNNNNNNNNNNNNNNNNNNNNNNNNNNNNNNNNNNNNNNNNNNNNNNNNNNNNNNNNNNNNNNNNNNNNNNNNNNNNNNNNNNNNNNNNNNNNNNNNNNNNNNNNNNNNNNNNNNNNNNNNNNNNNNNNNNNNNNNNNNNNNNNNNNNNNNNNNNNNNNNNNNNNNNNNNNNNNNNNNNNNNNNNNNNNNNNNNNNNNNNNNNNNNNNNNNNNNNNNNNNNNNNNNNNNNNNNNNNNNNNNNNNNNNNNNNNNNNNNNNNNNNNNNNNNNNNNNNNNNNNNNNNNNNNNNNNNNNNNNNNNNNNNNNNNNNNNNNNNNNNNNNNNNNNNNNNNNNNNNNNNNNNNNNNNNNNNNNNNNNNNNNNNNNNNNNNNNNNNNNNNNNNNNNNNNNNNNNNNNNNNNNNNNNNNNNNNNNNNNNNNNNNNNNNNNNNNNNNNNNNAUAUAUAUAUAUAUAUAUAUUAUAAUUACAAUGCACAAAGAAACUGAUCAAGAAAAAUUAAAACUAAUUUAAUUUUCCUUUUUCCUCUUUUUAAUUUCACAAAGAAACCAAAAAAAAACUAAAUUAAAAAACUGCAUAAAUUACGAUCAAUUUUGAGAAAACUAAUUCAGUUUUCUCUUCCUUCUUUUUAAUCGAUUUCACAUAGAAAAACGAAAAAAAUUGUAGAACUAAUCUACCCAUGAAGAAUUGAUCAACGAAUGCGAUUUAAAACAUCACAAGCAUGAUCACAAGGCGAAAACAAGCAUGUAGGCUCUGAUACUAAUUGUUGGAAAUAAUAGGGUAGCGGAAAUUUACGAACCGGAUAGCCAACGUAUCCGGGAACCCAAAUCGGAUUGGAUUACUUGUUUUACAAGCCUUCUUGAAUCGUCCUUAUCUUGAUACUUCUGGAUCUUCCACGUUUUACGCCUUCUCCUACGCCUAUGUCUCACGUUACGGAUCGGGUGUGUUGAAUGUGUUGGAUGCAUUGAAUAGGGCUACCAGAGUCCUCUUCUAUGUCCACACUCCAAAACCUCGGGAACGUAGGUGGAAAUUCUAGGGAGAAAGAAGAGAGAAGAAGGAAAAUUUUUUGUAUUCAAUCAUAUUCGUUCAUCUCUCUUUUGGAGAGAAAAGGGGGCGUAUUUAUAGAAUAACGAAACUCCUAAAUAUCCUGAAUCCUACAAGGAUUAGGAUAAGGAUCGGAAUAUCUAUUAACAUAUAAUAGAUAUCCACAAGUAGAUUUGUUUCUUAACUGAUAAGAAACAUAAGAUUUAUACUUAUCCUAAACUUAUUAGGAUAAAUCAUGAUCCACACCUAAUAUGGAUCGGAUUAAAUCAUAAUCCGCCAAUGUGGACAUAGCAUAUGGCAACAAUUUGCAAGUAUAUUGCAUAUAUAUAGUAUUUUACAUUUAUUAUUUAUUGACAAGAAAUUGAUUGUUCAAAUUAAAAUAAAUAUUUUUAUGUGCUCAAUACAGCAAGUACGUACGUCAAGUUAAGCCAUUAUAUAUAUAUAUAUAUAUAUAUAUAUAUAUAUAUAUAUAUAUAUAUAUAUAUAUUCUUUUUCGUUUAAAUUUGAACAAGAAAAUUCUAUCUUUAUCACUGUUUAGAAUAGUAUUGUAGGUUUUAGUUGAAAAGAUAGCCCAAAGCAUAUUAGUACUUAAUGCGUUCGCUAGUUUGAUAAUUCACAAACGUUCGAUUCGUCAAAGUACGGCUUAUUCUCUGCGUGACCUAGCGCUUGUGUUAAUCGAGAACAACCAAGGAGUUAAGACGACUUAUUCUCGGUAUCUAUGACGACACAGACAAUUAAUAUACACUGCAAUAAUACGCGCGAUUAGCUGUUUCGCGAGAGCACAUUAGUGUGCUCUAUAUGAUAUGAUAGGGAUAAUAAUUCGAAUUCGAUAGCGUCUUCCGAAUCCUUGCACGCGAGGCACAUUUGAUACACUACUUGAUUUUUCAUACUUACGUAGCUAUCAUAACUACUUGACAUCUUAAAAAUAAAUAUCUUAAUUUGUUUGAGAAUUUAUAUGGGAGUAAUACACUUUAACCACCUGAAUUUACAUUUAUUAUCGCGGCAGUUAGCAAUUAAGGUGUAGAAAAAUAUCGUUGAGAUGUCUAAUCACUUGAUUAAGACCAUGUAAUUAGGCCCAAAUUUGUGAAAGUUCACAUCUUAAUUAAAAGGCUACACCACUUGCUUUCAUUGCCAGGUUGAUCAAGCUGUGUAAUUAGGCCUGUGUCUCAACCAAGACCAUUUAUUUCUCAUGUAUUAGAUAGUGAAAUAAUGAGUACGGCUACUAUACUAUGGAUAACACCAAAUACCUGGUGCUAUCAGUUUUUUACUGUUAGAUCUAUUCCUUUAACUAUUUAUACUGAUUAGAUCAUAGUAUUCAACCAACCACCAACUCAACUCUAGGAGACCACUAUCAUCCGAACAGCAUAUUCCCUCAUCCAAGGGCCGAAAACCUAAUAACACCAAUGACUUGGUGCUAUUAAUAAUAUAGUAGCCUAAUUCGUGAAAUAAUAUACAAUUUAUAAUAUAAUGAGUUGAGCUCCUCUGCUUUUAAAAGUAUGGGAGAAUUUGUGCUUAUGGCUUUUUAACUUUUGGAUCGUUUUAAGACUCAUACAGCAUUAUUAACGGUAUGCCCCAUUAAGUCCUCUUGACCAGUGCUGCAUGAAUCUUGAGGUGAUCUGACGAUUAAAAAAUCACAAGCACAAGAUGCUCCGGUGCUUUUAAAAGCACAGGAACUCAAUAGAUGAUAAAUUAAUGUACUGAAAAAUGAGAAGAGAUAAUUAAUCCAAAAACCCUAAAUUUACCUUGUAAAUAGAACCCCCAAAAAAUGAAAAAAUUUCCUUCCAAGAAAUUAAUAGUUUCUCUUGUAAGAUCCAAUCAACCAUUCUUUGAAUUAACUCAAGCAGGUGGAUCAAAUAAAUCAAUUUAAUUUAAAAUAAAACAUUAUAACACUAUCUCUCUCACCUAGAUAUGUUAGUGGGCCAAGAUGAACUAAGUGGCCCAACUCACCCAAAUACUUAAAAAAGUAUAUUUUUCAAAUCUCAAUUUCAAAAAAUUCAAAAUAGCANUAAUUAUAUUAAUUUUUAUUUAUUAUAAUUUAUUAUUCACUAUAAGUUACAAAAUAGACAAUGAUAUCACUUUGGAGGUAAGUAUACCGGGGGUGAAAAUCUACACUUUUUACGUCAUCUGCUUUCUACCAAAUAAACAACAAAGCUCGCAGAACUGUACUUUCACAAUUAGAAACAAACAGCAGAAGUGAACUAAUUUUCUCUCCAACUCCACUUCAACCCAAAGUCCAUUUCCAUCCCAAGUCUACUUACGUUGAAACAAACAUGCUUAAGCCAAACUCAAGCUUUGCUCGUCUAUGUAUACUAGCUCAACUCACCCGUUGUAUAUUUUUAAGCUUAAAGGAAGCGGAUACAAGGGAAUUGCGCUUUUAAUGGUAUAGUAUAUAUGGAUCCAAAGGCCCAAAAGUCAAAAGUUUAUGCUUUUAAUAGUAUAGUAGCUCAGCUCAUUUUGAUGUGUCAAUUUUGAAAACCCAUUUUGUUUUUGUCCUAACUGUUGGAAAUCCGGUACUCCCCCUAUUAUCGAAUUUUGAAAAUCCGUAAUUCGUUCCGAUAUCAAUUGCUGUUGAUCUGAUACUGAUUGUUUGAAUUCUGCAACGAAAACGUCGAAUCGGAUUUUUACGAUAAACCCGUCUUUUCAGCAAAAUCUAAUACAAUCACAAAGAAAAGAAAAAAACUAAACUGAAAAUAUGAAGAUAAAAUAAGAUUUAUUAAAUAAGAAAAGAUUACACCUGACUUCUCUUCUGUAACAGAAUGGUUACAACUCGAGCUUUCUUUUGAAUCUUUCUUAUCCUUCUUUCAUCUUCUAUAAACCCAUAAAAAAAAUAACUCUCUCUUUUUCUCUCUUACAUGCCCCUGUGCACUUAAAUGCAUACAACUGGGCUUAGUCUUCUCCACGUUAUGGUCACCAUCAUAAAAAGCUCUCAGUCAUUCGUACCCAAGAUGUACCCAAAUCCUAGCACUAACAUUUAUAGAUUUUUUUUUUUUUGGGAAGCUUUCCACACCAUUAUGUGAUUUAUCAUUGUUUUAUUUUGGUAUUUUAUAGUUUUAAGGGAAAACUUCAAAAACCCCCCCUGUGGUUUCGUGCAUUCUCACUUUGCUACCCUGUGGUUUAAAACGUAUCAAUUUACCCCCCUGUGGUUUCAUUUUUAUCUUUUCGAAAGCUUUUUCGUUAAUAUUUCGUUAAAUUAUAUACAAAAAACUUCAGAUAACCAUCUAUAUUUAUCGAAUAGUCACUUUAGUAUCCUUUAAUUUUAACUUUGUCACUGAUUUUAAAAAAUAAUAAUAAUAAAAUUGAUAACAAAAAAAUAGAAACGAAACCACAGGGGGGCAAAUUGAUACGUUUUAAACCACAGGGUAGCAAAGUGAGAAUGCACGAAACCACAGGGGAGGUUUUGAAGUUUUCCCUAAUUUUAUUGUAGAGGAGUAAUUGUAUAAUCAAUAAUGUUACACUCAUUACAUAAAAGAAACUAAAAGGAGCUCUGAGUUUUCGUCUCUGCGCUCCCAUCUCAUUCCCGGAAUUCGAACCUUCGCCGGCGACAUUGCCGGCAGCAAGUUUUGCUGAUGCUCAAAGUUUGUCUGCGAGCAAUUCUACGUCGGUGAAUUCAUCUUUCUCUUGUCGUAUCUUGCGGCUUCAUCUCCUUCGCCAGAGUUCAAACCUUCGCCGGCGACGUUGCCGGCAGCCAACUUCGUCGGCGCCUGAAACUUCGCCGGCAGCCAGCUUCGCCGAUAUAGAUUGCGUGCCGAUGAAGCUUUGAGCACCAGCAUAGUUGGCGGCCGACAAAUUUUCAGGCACCGGCGAGCGAGAUGGCAGCGCAAAGGCGAAAACUCUUAGUCGCUUGGGCCCCAGUUCAUUUCUCUCUCAAAUGGAAUUUCGCAUUCCCUCUCAGGGAACAAGAUUAGUGCAUAAAUAAAAUGCUGUGGGUAUAGAAAUAGUGUUGAAUGUAUAAUACGAUAUAUGCUUGGUGAAUUCCAGCAUUACAAUAACAAGCAAAUCUAAAGAUCGAUUAGUUUGAGCUCCUUUCACUUUUACAAUAAAUUCACAACAUUUUUUUAAGUAUUUUUGUUAUUUUUUCGACACACUAAAGAAAAUAUCCAAACAACUUUCCAUAAAUAUAAACACCACCCAAAAUUUACUUCAGAUAUAUUUAGUAGCUAAAAUGAACAAAAAAACCGUGCUAAAACUCACUACUUUUAAAUAUUUAAAAAUAAUAACCAUGCCAAAGCUGAAAAAACAUGGACCCAAAACCACUAAAUUUUACUAGAGACAAUCUAUUAAGCAUAUCUGGAGUUUCAUUUAUUAACAACGAAAAGGUUUUAUAAAACAGAUUGUGCAACUGCCCCUGAAUUCUAUCAAAGUGUCCUCGAAUUCUCAACUGUCAAAUUCAAGCAUUUCACACCCCAAACUCAGGAAAAGUUGUCUAAUUAUCAUCCUUUCUAUAAAAACUUAGGUUACCACAUCUAACAUUUCCCGAUUUUUGAUGAGACUAAAGAUGGAAAUGGAUGCCGACGUAUGACAUGGUGCAGUCAAAGAAACAACCAUUCAUGUUGGUAUCCAAAUCUGAAUUCGACAAAGUCGAAGAGGUAAAAAAUACCUAGUGGCAAACUAGUUUCAUACAAACACAAACCAACAAAACAACACCAAACAGAUUCAAUCAGAGACUGCGAAGUUGCUAUCACCGAAAAUAAAAAGCCAAUAAAAAUGUACCGCUUGAUGACCAGUUAUUAACACCANAGUUGACCACAAAAAAAAUGAAGUUAUUGUUGUGGUUAAAAAAUACAUAGCAUAUCUCUCUCUCUCUCUCUCUCUCUCUCUCUCUCUCUCUCUCUAAUAUAUAUAUAUAUAUAUGCACCUCACUAAAUGGAAAACUCAACCACAAGCAAUCUAUACCGGCCUCCUCUUCAAGCCUCAGCAAAUCUCCUCUCUCAAGGUUUGCAAAACUCUCUCUCUCUCUCUCUCUCUCUCUCUCUCUCUCUCUCUCUCAUCUUUAUCUUUGACUUUCAUUUUUCUGUAUUUUUUCUUCUCUUUGUUCUCAGCAGCUAGCUAGCCUUUGAUAUUUAGUAAAAUUAGUACAUGUAUGUGACUAGUUAUUACUUCGAGUUCAGCUCAGAAAAAGUCACACUAACAAACAAUAGUGCAAAUAUUUAUUCUGCAUCUCAGUUUUCUUUAUAACUAAUCUAAAAUUGCAACCCAAAUGUCUAAUUAGUUACAGAUUUCAUUCAAAGUGUAUUGCAUAUAUGCAUGGUUUCUGUAAGUUAUAAGAUAGCUUCAUCUAAGUCAAAAUCUUCUAGUUUUAGCAAAGGCUAAUUAAGUACAGCUUAAUGAAUGUAAUGAAUAUUGUUUUCCCUAAUUAAUUUUUGUUUCUAUAUUUGGUUUUAGUUAAUCGAGCUAGAAUUUUUAGCAAAUUAAACACAAAUUUGGAUAUUUGUAUAUUUGUGUUUUGGUGUUUGUAUUAGCAGGGAAGAAACUAGACUUUCGGUUUGGAAGGGGUAAGAAUACAUAAUAUAUUUAUUGUAAAAAAAAAUUAUAAAAAAAUCAUAAUAAAAGUUUCAAUGUGUAAGGUACAAGCUUUUUUGGAAAAAAAAAAUCACUUAUAACUUCUAGAAUUUGUACUUAUGUAAUUUUCAAAAGGGUAAACUUCAAAUUGUGGCCCUUUGGUUUAGAACAAGUUUGUAGUUCAUAAGGUUUCACUUUGGCCCUACUUUUUAUUUUAUCAAAAAAUUCUACAUGAAAAAGGAUGACAAAGUAAAAAUUUUUAAAAAAUCAUAAAAUGUCGAAGUAAAGUAAUACAGUAAACCACGGUCGGGCGAAUUACAACUUUUUAAACUAUAGCGUGACAAAGUGAAAAAUAAAUUAAACCACAAGGGGAUAGUCUCUCAAUCGCUCUAUUCCUGUGUACUAGUACGGAUGUAUUUAAAUUAAGGAAUGAUUGUUUAUAGCUUUUCAUAAACAUAUCGAAUAGCAGAUAUAUAUCUAUAAAGUUUAAGUUUCAAAUUUAUCAUUAAAAAAGUUGUAACGGUUUCAAAUAUACCCAUACUGUUUGUGUCCGUUAGAAAAAUAUAGUUAAUCAUAGAUAAAAUACUUAGUGUGUGAGAUAAAUUGACCUUUUUUUUCUUAUGAUAUUAUUUUUUUUUCCCUCAAUCAAAAUCCUAGUUUGAUUAAAACCCUAGCAAUGGAAAUUUUUCUUCCUCUUCCUCAUCCUCUCUCUCCUUUAUGCUAGUUUCGAGUUCGUAACUACGGUUUUUCUAUCCCUAUUCGUUUACAACGUGUGUUGCUUUACCCAUAUCAAGUGUCGGGAAGUCAUAGAUAGGUAAAGGAGAAGAUGUUUGAGAGAUGUAGAGAAAAUGUUGCAAUAAUGAUAGAUUAGAUUAGUUUUUAUAGAGGAAGAAGCUAGAUGACCAUUGAAAUUUUUUUUGAAAGGAUAUUUCUGUACGAUUCUAACAGUUGGGCAUUUAGAGGGACUUAUUUGUAAUAAGCAAAAUUAAUAUUUUACUUAGCUUUUGUUUAAAAAUAAACAGCCAGCUAACGGUAACACAAAGGGACAAAUAUGAAUAUCCCUAAACUUUUGAAAGGACAAAUAUGAAAACUUCAACUUUCUAGAGAUAUAUCUACUAUCCGAUAUGCUUAUAAGGAGCGUGUACGAAAUUACCCCUUAAAUUAAGUACGAUCUAUAAUAGACACUAAAAUUUUAAAAUAAAAUGUCUUUGUUUCUUAUUUAUUAUUAUGUAUACACUAUGGAAUAGUCAAUUUAAGUCUUAUUAAUAUAGNUGACUAUUCCAUAGUGUAUACAUAAUAAUAAAUAUGAAAACUUCAACUUUCUAGAGAUAUAUCUACUAUCCGAUAUGCUUAUAAGGAGCGUGUACGAAAUUACCCCUUAAAUUAAGUACGAUCUAUAAUAGACACUAAAAUUUUAAAAUAAAAUGUCUUUGUUUCUUAUUUAUUAUUAUGUAUACACUAUGGAAUAGUCAAUUUAAGUCUUAUUAAUAUAGGCACAGAAAACAAAAAUUAGUCUUGAUUUAAAAUGAAAUGACGAGAGAAGGCAUUAAUUAUAAGUCUAAACAACUUGGAUUUUUUAAAACUAUCAAUUAGAUGAUUCUUUUAGUAUCGAUCCUUUUAAAUUACAAUUGUGAUUCAGGUUAAUUGUUGAUCCUAAAUUCCAAAUAGAAUAGCUUAUAAAAUAAGGCACUAUUUUUUUUUUAGUUUUAUUGGUCGACCCGCUCCACAAAUUAAUGCAACUGGCCAUAAUUUGCGGAGUCAAACUAGAUUUGCAGAGUCAAUUGUAAAAAGUUUUGUUUAUCAGAGGUUGCAUGUAUUUCCAUUACGGCUCUGUUUGGAUAUCAGAAUAAGAAAUUCAUUGACAAUUUACGUAGAAUGAAAAUCUUUUUGUGCUUUCGAAAGUUUGAAGUUUGAUUUUUUUUUUUUUAUCCUUCUUGAACUUUGUUUUGAUGUCAGUAUAGGUUAUUCAAAAAUAAUACAUUUGGUAUGAGAAUUUUGUUGUGUGACUGAAAGUUAGGAGUUUAAUUUUUGCUCUUUGGAGGCCUAGUUUGGAUGUACGGAAAUCUUAUUUAGCACAUUUCUCAGAUUUAUUUGAGGAGCUUGUAUAUUUGGUAGAUGAAGAGUGUGAUCAGACUUUCAAGUUAUUUUUUCGAAUAAGAUAAUUAAUUAUCUUAUAGGUAAAAUAUACUAUUCUAUCAAAUUAUGAGUAUCAAAAAAAUUUAAUUAGCAAAAAUCAAAUGCACGUUUUAUAAUCAUAUUAGAAAAUUUUUAUCCUGAUAAGUUAUCCUAGGAUAACUUUUAUGACUUUCAAAAAGGGUAAAAAUGUUCUGAUAUUUAUAAUUUGAUAGAAUAGUAUAUUUUACUUACGAAUUAAUUUAUUUUAUUUCAAGAAAAUAAUUUAAUUUAAGGCCGGCCAAAUAUACUAUUCCAUUUGAGACAUUAAUCACACUCUCAUUUUACCAAGUACUAUAAGCUUCUCCAUUAAAUCAAAAAAAAAUUUCUAAACAAAACAAGCAUGCAUCCAAAUAGAGCUAAAAGUCUUGAUAUUUAUAAUUUAAUAUGAUAAUAUAUAUAUAUUUUUUAUAGAAGUUGUUUUAUCUUAUUUCGAAAACAGACUCAAAACCAAGAAUAUUUUUUAUUUUAGACAUUUGAUAAUAAUUUCUCAUCUACCGAGGAGUAGGUCAAAUUAAUAUAUGUGUCGAAUAAAAUAUUUGUGCAACCUAACAGUGUAGACAUGUUUGUGACUUUUCACACUUUAAACGAAAACUAUUUUUGAGUAUAAAAUUUUCCUUUCUUUGUAAUCAAACCUACAAGUUGACUAGAGAAGUUGCUGUGGAACUACACUGGAGUAGGGAUGCAAACGGGGCGGAUCCGGAGGCGGGAGAGUUUCCCCACCUUCCGCUUCAUUUCUUAUCGGGGUGGGACGGAUUCGGGGCCGGUUACUUUUCAUUUUAUUUUUGACUCUUACUUACCAUUCCAUUCGGGGCGGAUCGGGGCGGGAGCUGAAUUUUUGACGGAUCGGGGCGGAUUGAAGGAAGAAAAGAGUCUCCCACCUCCCCCUCCAUUUACUUGGCGGAUCGGGGCGGAUUCGGGACGGGUUAUAUUUUUUUAUAUUUUUUGUUCCCACUUACCACCCCAUUCGGGGCGGAUCGGGGCGGAGCUCCACCAACCCGGAUCCAUUUGCAUCCCUACACUGGAGUUCUCUCUCACAAAUAUUCUUAUUAAAAAAUAAACACUUUUAUUUAUUUAUUUAUUUAUUAAGAGAAAGGUAAUAAGCUAUAUCCGUCUUCGUUUAUAUCUUAAAAAAAAAAAAUUCAAUUAGGAAAAUAAAAUAAAAAAGUUUCAACCUUGGAACCUUAGUACUUACCAUCAAAUUAAUUCUUAACCAAUACUAUUAGGUGCAAUUAGCAACAUAACUUUUUUCUUAUUGGUGUUAAAAAUGUACGUAAUUUAUUUGAACUAUGAAUUAUGGAUCAUUUUAGAUCGACUAUCUAAUCUUUCAAAAUUUUGAUUUUAUUACUUAAUCUUUCAAUUUAUUUAAUUUGAAUUAAUUCUUCAAUGAUAUUUUGGCUUUAAAAUUUAAAUUAAUUACUUAUUUUAAUAAAUUUAUAACGGUGAGAAUUGUAUAAAUUAAGUAUACUGCCUAACCAUUUAAAGAUAGACCCUGUAUUCCAAAAUUGAAUCAAUAUAUUGUCAACCGACUCAGAUCAAAUAAAUUAAAGGAAAAACUUUAAAUACCCCUCCUGUGGUUUAGCACUUUCUCAGUUUAGCAUCUUAUAGUUUAAAGUGUAUCAAGUUAGUACCCUGUGGUUUCGCACCUUCUCACUUUAGUACCAUGUGGUUUUAAGUGUAUCAAGUUAGUACCCUGUGGUUUUAUUUUUGUAUCAAGUUAGUAUCAUGUGAUUUUAAUUUUUUCUUUCUUUUAUCCUCGUCGAGGUAUAUAAUUUAAUAAAAUAUUAAAUCACAUGGUACUAAAGUGAGAAAGUGCAAAACCACAGAGUACUAACUUGAUACACUUGAAACCACGUGGUACUGUGGUACUAAAGUGAAAAAGUGCGAAACCACAUGGUAUUAACUUGAUAUAAUUUAAACAAUAUAGUACUUAAAUGAAAGAGUAUAAACCUACAAGGGGGUAUUUGAAGUUUUUCCAUAAAUUAAAUAGUUAGAUAGUAAAAUUAAAAUUUUAAGAAGUUAACCAGUCAACGCAAGAAAGUCCUUAGAUCUUAUAAUUUGUGGGCUAGCUUCUAGUCCUGCGCCGCUUGAUCAGUUUGAGAAAUUUUUGAAAAACUACAUGCAGGUCAGGUAGGAACUUAAGCAAAAACUGCUACUAUCACCACCACUGCCGCCGCUGCCGCCACCGCCACCGCCGCGACCGUGACCGCCAUGGGUCGGACGGAGCUGAAUGUUCUGAGCAAGCUCGACGGGGCGAAGACGCAGCUGUACCACUUCACGGCGAUCGUGAUCACCGGCAUGGGGUUCUUCACCGACGCCUACGACCUCUUCAGCAUCUCCCUCGUCACCAAGCUCCUCGGCCGCAUCUACUACUACGACCCCUCCUACCCGGCCCCCGGCAUCCUCCCCCCCAACGUCGCCGCCGCCGUCAAUGGCGUCGCCUUCUGCGGCACCCUCGCCGGCCAGCUCUUCUUCGGCUGGCUCGGCGACAAGCUCGGCCGCAAGUCCGUCUACGGCUUCACCCUCCUCCUCAUGGUCCUCGCCUCCCUCGCCUCCGGCCUCUCCUUCGGCCACUCCGCCAAGGGCGUCAUGGCCACCCUCUGCUUCCUCCGCUUCUGGCUCGGCUUCGGCAUCGGCGGCGACUACCCCCUCUCCGCCACCAUCAUGUCCGAGUACGCCAACAAGAAAACCCGCGGCUCCUUCAUCGCCGCCGUCUUCGCCAUGCAGGGCUUCGGCAUCCUCGUCGGCGGCAUCGUCUCCCUCAUCGUGUCGGCCGCCUUCAAUGACCGCUACCACGCUCCGCCCUUCAGCCAGGACCCCGCGGGCUCCACCGUCCCGCAGGCCGACUACGUGUGGCGGAUCAUCCUCAUGUUCGGCGCCGUCCCCGCCGCGCUGACCUACUACUGGCGGAUGAAGAUGCCCGAGACCGCGCGCUACACCGCGCUCGUCGCCAGGAACGCGAAGCAGGCAGCGGCCGACAUGUCCAAAGUACUGCAGGAAGAAAUCAGGGAGGAUGACACUGAGCUUGCAGAGCAGCCGACGGUCGCCGACGACUGGGGCUUGUUCUCGCCGCAGUUCGCUCGGCGCCACGGCAUCCACCUCCUGGCGACGUCGACGACGUGGUUCUUCCUCGACAUCGCGUACUACAGCCAGAACCUAUUCCAGAAGGACAUCUUCAGCAAGGUCGGGUGGAUACCGCCGGCGGGCAGCAUGAACGCCGUCGAGGAGGUGUUCCGCAUCGCCCGCGCGCAGACGCUCAUCGCCCUCUGCGGCACCGUCCCCGGAUACUGGUUCACCGUGGCGUUCAUCGACGUGAUCGGACGGUUCUGGAUCCAGGUGAUGGGCUUCUUCAUGAUGACCGUGUUCAUGCUCGGCCUCGCGGUCCCCUACCACCACUGGACGACGCCCGGGCACCACGUCGGGUUCGUGGUCAUGUACGCGUUCACCUUCUUCUUCGCCAACUUCGGGCCGAACGCGACGACGUUCAUCGUGCCGGCCGAGGUGUUCCCGGCACGGCUGCGGUCGACCUGCCACGGGAUAUCGGCGGCGGCGGGGAAGGCGGGGGCGAUCGUCGGGGCGUUCGGGUUCCUCUAUGCGUCGCAGGGGAAGGCGCUGGCGGAGAGGGACCGCGGGUACCCGGCGGGGAUCGGGAUACGGAACACGCUGUUCGUGCUCGCGGCGUCGAACUUCCUCGGCCUCGCCUUUUCGCUGCUGGUGCCGGAGGCCAAGGGGAGGUCGCUGGAGGAGAUGUCCAAGGAGAACGAGGGGGAGGAUGAGUUUGUCAUGGAUAAAGCUCCUUAAAAGUUAAUUACGUAAUUAAAAAAAAUAAUAAUAAUUUGUGAAAUAUGUACAUGUAUUCCAUCCCUUGCCUCAAUUUGAACUUUGAAGCUUUUCUUGCAUGUGUGUGGUUUAUGAACAUUUGUUCAUUUUGCAAGUCUCUGCAGUUUCUUUUUCUUUCUCCUAAAAGGUCGAAUAUGAUAUCCUACUGCAGCUAUUUUCUUUUACCGUCUUCAAUCAUCAAAUAUUAUAAAAUUUUAUUUAAAUAUCAAAAUAAAAUUUCUAAUAAUAAUAUAUUCGGUAUAAAAAUAUUUUUGUGUGAUUAAAAAUCAGGAGUUUAAGUUUUGCCCUUGAGAUAGUUUGGCAUGUAUAAUUUGGUAGAUUUUUUUUUUUUGAGAGAGAGGUAACGUGUUACCCGCUUUAUUUAUUUUUUUAGAAAUAAAUUUAGCUGGAAAUGUGAAACAAUCAUAUUUCAAAUUUGAAAUCUCGAAUAUCAACCACCAAGUCUUUAGCCACUUGCGCUGGGGACAGAUAGCGCGCUUUCUCCAAAAAAAAAAAAAAAAAAAAAAAAAAACAGAAUGCAUAUAGUUACAAAUUUACAAUUGCUGCAUUUNAAAAAAAAAAAAAAAAAAAAAAAAAAUGAAGGCCGAAUACCAUACCAAGGAGAAGGGAAGUGGCUAGACCAGCUCAAGUUUUGGGCUAGCCAAAGGCCUAGGCCUAGCUUCUUUGGGCUAGCUCGAAUCGUACCGACACGGCCCACAUUGCAACAAAAAAGAGUUGUGAGGCCAGCGACUCAAUUUAUCAUUCUACCCUCGUCCCCUACGCCUCUCUUUGCCCUUCGCCCCCCGCGAAGCAGCGCGUCGCUCGAUCCCGCGCCCCGCGCCCGCGAUGGUGCACAGCGCGUACGACUCCGUGGAGCUCCUCCGCGGCUGCCCCGCCCGGAUCGACGCCGUCGCCUCCUACGCCUCGAAGCUCCUCCUCGGCUGCUCCGACUCCUCCCUCCGCAUCUACUCCCCCCGCUCCCUCUCCUCCUCCGACGACGCUUCGGCAUCCUCCGCCGCCGCCGCCGCCGAUGCCGCCGCCGCCGAGAUCCGCCGCGACUCCUACGCCCUCGAGCGCGCCAUCCCGGGCUUCUGGAGGCGCCCGCCCCUCGCCAUGGAGGUGUCCGCCUCCCGCGACCUCCUCCUCUCCCUCUCCGAGUGGGUCGCCCUCCACCGCCUCCCCUCCCUUGAGACCCUCGUCGCCGUCGCCAAGACCAAGGGCGCCUCCGUCUACAGCUGGGACGACCGCCGGGGCCUCCUCUGCGUCGGCCGCCAGAAGCGCGUCGCCAUCUACCGCCUCGACGGUAACGCCCCCAUCCCUCCUCCACAACCCCUCUUCUUCAGGUCUCAAUCGAGACGCGUGGUCGCAGUGUCUAAACGUUUUAUUGCAAUUGAUUCUAACAACCUUUCGAAUCGUCGUAGUGCCGACAUCCAACAAUGUAAUUGCGAAUGUUUUGGCUACAAGCUUUAUAUGCAGAGGAAAAGGGAAGAUCUUUGAUAGUUUUCUAUUCCAGAUUUCUUAUAUCCUAAUAUAAAGGUGAUUGAUAUAAUGCAAACUGAUUUAUAAGUUGAAUGGACCUGAAAAACCCCGGUUUUUAUGGCAGAAUUUCUUACAAAGGUCGUGUUUUUAUUAGUUUAGACUUAAGAAGCAGUUCUGAUCACUUGAUAUUUAUUGGUUACUUGCCUCUUCAAUGGAACAUUUUUCAGGUCGAAGAAAUGAUUCUGACUUCCUUUUGAGGUUAAAUUGGCGUAAAUAUGUAUUUAAUUUGGAAUAUCUAGAUCACUUUCCUUUAUGCCGGGCCAACAAUUCGCCUACUGGAGAUUGGGGUAUUCAGAACUGUAGGUUAAUUUAAUAAUUUACCAGCCAACAAUUCAAGAACUGAGGGGCAAUUUAACAAUCUGUCUACCGGCCAACAAUUCAAGAAGUGCGGGGCAAUUUAACAAUUCACCUACUGGGUAACAAGUCUAGAAAGAGUUACUAAAACCUGAAAUCGGAGUAAUUUCUGUGUAAAACUAUCUGAUUAAGGCAUCUAGAAGGCAGUUAUGUACUUAUAGUAUAUUUAUGUCUCUUUUUUCUUUUAGUUAUCGUUACCUGUGAGAUAUGAUGGUUCGUGCAUCAAUAGGGUUCUUACCUGGUGCUCUAUAUAUGGUCUUUCCCUUGGUCAUCGUAAUCUUUGCAACUUAAAAUGUUCUGCUUUGGUUAGGUGGUCGAGAGUUUGUGGAAGUAAAGGAGUUUAGCGUUCCUGACGUGGUUAAGUCUAUGGCUUGGUGCGGGGAGAACAUAUGUCUGGGGAUUAGAAGGGAAUACAUGAUUAUGAAUAGCUUGACUGGUUCAUUAUCCGAAGUUUUCCCUGCUGGGAGGAUAGCUCCUCCAUUGGUUGUCCCUCUUCCGUCAGGGGAGCUGCUUCUCGGAAAGGUACUUUUUUAUUUAUGCUUUUGUUUUUUUUUUCCGGGUCAUUUUCCUCCGUGGCAAUUUUAAAUUUUUAUCGCAAAUGUUCUCUUAUGAAAAAGGCAUGAUCAUCUACAUUUUUAGCAUUUAAUGUGUAACAUGGUUCUGAUUUUUUGCUUUUUUUAACUUGAUUUAGUAAUCAGUAACUUUUGCUUAUGAGAUUCAUGUAUUCUUGUUUUGUCUCUCUCAGGUAAUUUUCUUUGAUAAGGACACGCAGAUUCUAGUAUCGCUAAAUGAUGUUUCUCUAUUUUCUUUUCUCCUUGUAAUUAGCACAUGUAAACUGUAGUAUCACUAAUGUUUCUCAACACUCUAUUAUUAUCCACAAAAUUAGGAAAAUGUAGAUUCUGCAUCCUUAAUUGGUCUUCUAUUCUCCAUGUAAUCUCUUUAAGAGUAAAUUUUAUUGUGUAAUUGUUGGCUACUGGAUCAAACUCUAAGGUCUAUGUAUCAUGCUAAAAUGAUACUAUGCUAAAAUAUAGAAAAAGAGUUUAAUACUUGUUAAAUUGUUAAUCAAAUAAAAAAACCUCAUAUGGCACAUCUUAAAGCUUUACAAGUCUAUUUACAAGCAUUGUCUUAGCUGUUGUACUUUUCUAGUAGUUGUUCUAGUCCGUGCAGUGGAGUAAAUUAUUCCAUGAUAGCAAGUUCCUUCGUUGAAUAAUGCCUUCUUCCACCAUGAUCUGGAUCUUUGAGGAGUAUAGUGCAUGUUGAUUAUUGCUUUGAUUCUUUGAACUGCAUGACCUUUAAACGCUUACUUUAUAUUGCAAGUUUUCCUACUAACUAGUUGGCCUUUACUGUUUUUUUGUGAGCAUUCCUCUCUGUUUCCUUGCCUCCACUUAGGACUCAGAAAUAUGUACCAUUUAGUUCUGGGCAGAGAAAAAGUACUUUUUUUGUGGUCAUGGCAUUAAUUAACCAUAGGUUUGGAUUGCUAACCUAUUUUAACAUGUGGAGUUAGGGUAUUAAGGCAAUCCAUGCAGCUAAUAGGUGCACUUUUCAUGACCUGGCUUAACGGGAAAAAUAUCAUCACAUCAUGUGACACUCCAAUAGUCCCGCAUCGGAUGGAAAUGGGGUUGUCAUUGGGUAUAUAAGAGGACUCCACCAUAAUAAUAAUAACUGGACUUAAGCAUUUUUGGCCGGUGGUUUUGGCCCAACGAGUUAUUAUUGCUAGUAGGCCGGAUCGUUAUACAUCAUCACUCACGCUCAUUGAAUAUGAUUCGGUUACCAAUGGAAAGUAGUAUAUAAAUAUUUUAGAUUUCUUCCUUGUCAUUCUACUAGUACCUAAUGCAUUUUGGUCUUUUCAUUGGCUUGUUGAAAUUAAUCUUUUGAUUUGCUAUUUUACAGGACAACAUUGGUGUAUUUGUUGACCAAAAUGGGAAGCUUCUACAAGAUGGCAGGAUAUGUUGGUCCGAGGCUCCUGGAUCUGUUGUCAUCCAUAAACCGUAUGCUAUAGCUCGCCUACCCAGACAUGUCGAGGUGGCUCAAGCAUUUUACUUAUAGUUGAGAUAGGUACAUUAAUCCAUUGCUAUCGUUGCAUUAGAUUUAUAUGGCCUAAUGCAUAAAUUAUUGCAGGUACGGUCGCUUAAAGCUCCCAAUCAACUGGUUCAAACAAUUGUUCUCCGUGAUGUUCAUCUGCUUCUUCAAACCAACAAUUGUAUACUCGCUGCAUUAGGCAAUUCUGUUUAUGGUCUAUUGCCUGUCCCUCUUGGCGCGCAGGUAUAUCCUCUAUCACUUGAGUUUUAUUGCUUCCAUCAUUCAUUUUGUCAACACAUAUUUGUAUCAACUCUACUGUUAUAUUAUUUUUCUCGCAAUACUAGGAAGCUAAUUUAUCUAAAUAUCUGUGUGCCCAUUUUAAUGUCUUAUCUCUUAAUGUAUCCAUAUGGGAAAUGUUGUGCAAGGUAAUUCUUUGUUUGGUUUAUCAGGUUUGAUUGUCCAAUAUAGAAAAAGUGCCAUAGGUGGGAAAGAUGAGAAGAGAGGAAAAUGAAAUGGGGGGAGCAGGAGUCACUUUGGGUAGGGAAAGAUAUAGGAAAUAACCAUAUCCUUUUUAAUUAGGGAUUGCCCUACUGUGCUGAGGCCGUGGCGACAUGUGGCAUGGGAUCGUGCCGACACUGUAUCAACAAAAUAAUAAUUUUUUCUUGUUGUGGGAUCUUUUUGACUUUUUUAUGUAAAUGCUUCACAAAAGCUUUUUCAUACUUCAAAUAUAUAGAUCUUGUAAAUCUACUUACAUUUGGAGCAAUUAUGUUCCAUUGCAUAAUAAGACCAAUUUUGGUGAAAAAGUACGAAUAAGAAGAUUUUCUCCAAUUUCUUUUACCAUUUUUUAUCUAGUGGUUUUGCCUUUAGUAGUGUUGUCCUAUAAAUUUUUAUCCAGUAAUGACUUUGGUUUUGGGUUUUUGCAUAUACUUUCCUAAUAUAUAUAAAAUAAUUUUUUUAAAGAUUUUAAGAUGUUUAUUACUUUUUCUUACUAAAUUGUGUGAGAUAUAAUACAUAAAAUAUUAUUAUAUCCAUUAGAGAUAUUAAAACACUCUUAAAAAACUAAUUUUUCUUAAAAAUUUAAUAAAAAAAGCCUGAGCCAGUGAGGGCCAACAUGCCAAUGGCAUGCCACUGGCACGGGGCGCACGCCGUCAUUGGCAUGCCCAAUGCCGUUGUAUCCCAGUGCCGUUGUAUCGUGCCAUACUGUUCUGCCGGCACAGUGGCACGGGUUGUGCUAGUGGCACGACAAUCCUUUUCUUUAACUAAAACUUUUAACUAAAACUUUCAGCACUUUAAUAUCAAUUACCAAAUGAUGCCCAGGUUACUUACUAUAGGUCCUGUUACCCAUUUCAAAUGUAUACCAGGAAGGGAAUAAGGUGAAAAUAGAUAGGCCUUGAUGGUUGAUGCCAUCUCAUAGGAACAUAUCAUUCAUGGAAACUCUGCAAAGAGUCAACCUGAUUAGCAUAUACUUCUUUUUUAUGCUUGAGUGGAAUUUCUUUUCAUUCCCGAGGACUGCUGGAAAUUAAGGGCCAUUAGUUGGUUUUAUUAUUCAGAGAAUGGUCAGACUUCUAGAAUAUUUCAUUACUUGCUUCUGGACCAUUCUUUGUUGUUUUUAUGUGCCCUAAAAUACCUUUUUGAUUUGCUAUGGCUUUUUCUCUUUCUUUACUGUCUCUGGGAGUACAGAUAGUACAAUUAACUGCAUCGGGAGAUUUUGAGGAGGCCUUGGCUUUAUGCAAGCUACUUCCACCCGAGGAUUCAACUCUGCGAGCAGCGAAGGAGAGCUCAAUACACAUAAGGUGAUUUUCUCCUUCAAUGACCUACUCAUAAUAUGGUGAGCAGUCAGUUAUAGUUGAUGUUUGAGUAGUUGUCUCUUUAAUGUCUAGGCUGACCUAACUAAAUCUCCAACUAGUCUAAGUGCUGUCUCAUUCACUAAAGACGGUAAGAAUAUCUGUAUUGGAUGUAGACACUUUUAUCCUAAGUACACAGUUACAUGUAUUACAAUGUGAAUUGUGUUGGCUGAUAUAUUGCCCUAAAUAGGUCCUGUACUUAAGUUUGCUAUAUUGUAUCUGUUCAGUUGAAAUGCUUGAUUUUUGAUUUAUACGCUUAUUCUUUUUCUUAUUUUAAAGUACUUUCUAUUGAUCAUAUCAGGAAGGUGCAAGCUUAUUUUCCUUAUCAGUAUGUCCCUUUCCUUCUCGUAGUCCUUUUUCUAUCAGUUUAUUUGUUUUUAUUUUCCAGAUAUGGUCACUUCUUGUUUGACAACGGAAGCUAUGAGGAGUCGAUGGAGCAAUUUUUAGCUUCACAAGUGGAUAUCACUUAUGUUUUAUCGCUAUACCCGUCCAUUAUACUUCCCAAGACGCUUAAUAUUACCGAGGCUGAUAAGCUCCAUGACUUGACAGAUACUUCACAUCUAUCCAGAAUGUCAUCUGAUGCUUCAGAUGAGAUGGAAUCCUCCCUCCCUAUCCAACAUCAGGAAUCUGAUCUUGAAAUGAAGAAAAUGAGUCACAACUCGCUUACGGCUCUUGUAAAGUACUUGCAGAAGAGAAGAUUUAGUAUAAUUGAGAGGGCCACUGCAGAGGUAACUGAGGAGGUUGUCUCAGUUGUACAGGACAGUAUGGCCUUGUCUGAUCCACAUAGACCGAAAACAUCAAACAAGGUGACCUGAUCGUAAUUCUUCCUUAAGAGUUCUAAGUUACUUAUGGCUAUGUUUAAUUUUAUGCACUAUAAAGGAUAUUCUGCAAAAUUUCAGAGUUCAGUUUUCAACAUGGAAGUCUUACCUGAGCAUUUCCUAUUUCACUUUAUGAACCUCAUUUUGGAUCAUUCUUGUUAAGGGACAUUUGGUGUCAUCGCAGGAUAUACUAUUUGCAUAGUUUGCACUUUGCACUUUGCACUUUGCACUUUACACAUUUCAACUUCACUUUUUGUUCAAUACAGUGUUGCUUUAGGCUUCAUUUGGUAACACCUACAUUCUUUUUUCUUUACUUAAAUUCUAUGCAAAUGAAUGUGCCCGCAGAUGAUAGAUUGUUUGCAACCUAUACUCCUAUGGGUCUUGUUAGGCAUUAAAACACGAACAAUUUUGUAGCAACUUUGCCCUUUUAAUAUCUUUCUGUAAAAAGAUGGGCUUGCAAACUAAUGUACAAUAACAGAACAUAGAAGUUGAUUGAAUUGUGAACUGAAAUAUAAUUUGAGUUUUUUAAAAUAGAAAUAAGUAAGACUACGAGUCAAAUGAGAUCCGUACUUUUUAUCUUCAGUCCUGUCAUGGAAUGCAUGAUUUUUUUUUUUGUUCAUUUUAGCCUAAUUAAAAUGAAGAUACCUUAUAAGAUAAAAUAUUGUAUUGGAAGCAUUAAAGCAAAUUCCAAAUGUUUUAUGGUUGGUGAUCGAUGAGUCACAAAAUGUUACUGCAUCAUCUCUUCAAAGUCGUAAUAAAUACAUAUUCUAUAUAUUAUGUCAAAAAAAAAAAAAAAUGAACGCAAUCUUUACUAAUUAACUGAAGAUGUACUAUCUGAUAUCUGAUAAUUUAACUGUAUUUUGUAUUCCUAGAGGCACAGCCAGAUACAUAUCAGCUCAGUAGCCAGAGAGAUGGCGACUGUACUGGAUACCGCACUUCUUCAAGCCCUGCUUCUUACAGGGCAGACAUCAGGAGCACUUGAGUUACUUAAGGGCCUCAAUUAUUGUGAUUUGAAGAUAUGUGAAGAAUUUUUGAAGGAAAGGAAUUUCUAUAUAGUGUUACUGGAGCUGUACAAGAGUAACGAAUUGCACCGCGAAGCUCUUAAACUUCUGAAUCAACUGGUCGAGGAAUCAAAAUCAGGCCUUGCAAAUUCUGAGCUCAAUCAGAAGUUCAAACCAAAUAUGAUUAUCGAGUAUCUCAGGGUAUUAUUACCUUAUGCUUAGUCGCUUACUUCUUUUGGACAAAUUUAUGUUCUCUUUUAUAUGUAACUUGCCAUUUUCCCCUGAUGUUAACUAGCAAUUGUAUGGCGACUUUGCUCUAAUUGAGAGCUUUUAUUAUAACAGUGCAAGUUUCAAACUAAGGGGUCGUACUAGAUGCCAGUAAGCACUUUUAACUACUCUGAUAAUUAUACCUAUGUGCAAGAAGUAUUGAAAAUACAGGAUCUAAACUUACGAAAAGGAGUAAUUCAUAUUUAUGUUUCAUAAUUCACCAGAUCAACACAGCUGCUUCCAUUUAGUUUGAUAAGUUUUGUUAAACUAAUGGUGAACACUCAAAAGGAUUUGUAUACAACAUUGCUUUUUGAAGAACUUGUUGGAUUGCAUCACUUGGAUUUUGAAUUCAGGCUGUGUACUUGUACUGCUGUCUAAACAAUUUGAGCAUAUCUCGGCAAAACUUUCUGGUACUUUGCAAAACUUUGAAUAGCCAAGAACUUAUCCCUGGUGCUGUAUCUAGCUGUCAUACUAAAUCAUUGUCCUUUAUGAAACAUGAUUCCCUUCUACUGACUUUUCUGAUUAUAUUUGCAGCCUCUUUGUAGGACCGAUCCUAUGCUUGUUUUAGAAUCCUCCUUGACUGUUCUUGAGAGCUGCCCAACAGAAACGAUUGAACUUUUCCUGUCUGAAAAUGUUCCAGCAGACUUGGUAAAUUCAUAUUUGAAGCAGCAUGCACCAAAUUUGCAGUCUACAUAUCUAGAGCUUAUGCUUUCAAUGAGUGAAAAUGGGAUCAAUCCUAACCUGCAAAAUGAACUGGUAUUUGCGUCCUUUUCAUUCUGUCUUUUAUUGUGAUAAAUUAUAGUUUGUUUGAGCUGUUAAGAUAUUCCUUUUUUACUGAAACUUGUUACCAGGUGCAAAUAUACCUUUCAGAAGUACUCGAUUGGUACCAGGAUCUCAAGGACGAACAAAAAUGGGACGAGAAAACUUACUCUCAAACCCGUAAGAAGUUAAUAUCUGCAUUAGAGGGUAUUUCGGGUUAUAAUGCUGAGGUCCUGUUAAAGUGUCUCCCACAAGAUGCACUCUUUGAGGAGCGCGCGAUACUACUUGGAAAAUUAAAUCAACACCAUCUUGCUUUAUCUUUGUAUGUUCACAAGGUAACAUCUAUGGGGACGAACAAUCAGUUCUUUCUGCUGUGCUUUUCUCAUUUGGGUGAAAAUCUUGUUCACAGGCUUCCAGCUCUGUUUGGAGGUUUUCUUUUUUGAAGUUAUAUGUUUCUAAAGACUUCUUGUUAGUUGUGAUUAGUGCAUUUAAAACUCUAAUGCUAUGUCCGCUGUAAUAACUACUCCUUGGUGAAUUAUGCAGCUGCAUUUAUCAGAGCUAGCGGUAGCAUACUGCGAUCGUGUUUACGAAGCAGGAUCAUCACAGCCUCCAAAAUCAAAUGUGAACAUCUAUCUUAUGCUACUACAGAUUUACUUAAAUCCACAAAAGACAAAAAAAGAAUUUGAAAGAAGAACUAUUUCGGUACCUUCCCAAAGCCCUAUAACCCAAAAGGUUGGUUAUACUAAAUUCAAAGGGAGCCGCAAUUCUAAGAAAAUUGUGGAGAUUGAGGGUGCUGAUGACAUGCGCAUUAGCCUCAGCAGCACUGAUAGUGGACGAAGUGAUGGUGAUGGAGAUGAAUAUGCUGAAGGAGGAGGUUCUGCAAUGUUGAAUGAGACACUUGAAUUGUUGAGCCAGCGAUGGGAUAGGAUAAAUGGUGCACAGGCUCUAAAACUAUUACCCAGAGAAACAAAGCUCCAGGUAUGGAUUUAUUUGUUCAAGAAAAUUUUUUUUUCAAUUUUUUUUAUGUAAGAGGAAGUUCAAAUAAUUGAAAACUCUGAACCCCAAUGAAUUUACUAUUUCCUAGUAUGCUUUUUUGGCAGAAUUUGCUUUCUUUCCUUGAACCACUUCUCAAGAAAUCUAGCGAACAUCGGCGGAAUUAUGCAGUUAUUAAGAACUUGAUAUUCAGGGCGCAUUUGCAGGUUAACUCUAUUUGCUUUGUCUUCUUUGUCGUUAUGCUGUUGUAUCAAAAAGCUGGUUUGGAGACUUUGCAACAGAAAGGAGCAUUUUGUGUUUAGAUUAUUUCUUAUCUUGGAAAUACAAUGUUUCAUGAGAAUGUUUAGUCUCCAAUCCCCUAUAAGCCCAGGUUGAUGAUAAAUGAAAUUUCUAACUGCUCAAGUCUACUGACAUCGUGCAUUAGGUAAAGGAAGAUCUUAGUAAAUCCCGACAAACAGUUGUGAAGAUUGAUGGAGAGAGCACCUGUUCUCUGUGCCGUAAGCGGAUAGGUAACAGUGCUUUUGCUGUUUAUCCAAAUGGAAAGACACUUGUGCAUUUUGUCUGCUUUAGAGACUCGCAGCGCAUCAAGGCUGUCCGAGGUGCACCCCCAGUCAAGCGCCUGUAGUUUGCUCCUAACGUGAAGUAUGAUUAAUCUCUUUACUUUUGACAAUAGUUCAUACUUAUUAAAGGAAAUAUUAUAUUUUCGUUGUUGCUUUCUUUUGCUCUGAAAGUAAACAAUUGUAAUACCUUGCAUUAAUCAAAUUUGUGAAAUCACAGAUGCCGAGAAAUAUUAAUUUGUAGUCCAGAUUUGAUGUUAAAAGAAUCCAUGCGGUCCUGAAAAUAGUUGAAACUUUGGCAUAUGGAAGGUCAGUUUGCUAAUGCAUUUCUAUGAUCCUGUGACUGUUAAAUUUCUUAUGCUUUGACAAAAAUGUGGAGGCUUAUUUGCAUUGCACCUAAGAGGUGAGAUGAUUUUUCUUAUUCUGAGAUAUGACUUUUAAGUCGUUUAGACUAUGCCAUUUGAGACUUUCUAAUCAUACUUGUUAAAUUAAAUGAAACAACCGUUUUUCUGUAAAGGCUUAAGCUACCAGAGAACAUUAUUUUUUAUAUUUAUAUUUUUCAACUAAGGCUUUAAAUUCAAUAAACUUAUCAAAAACUUCAUACUUAAAUUUUAAAAGAUAAUUCAAGAAUAAUGAGUGAAAUCAUUCACAAAGAGAACAUAAUAUUUAUAACUAGAAACCGAGUAAAUAAGAGAUUGCCGAACAUCAGAGUGAAUAAGUUGAAAUGGAAAAUCAGAAUGCGAAUCUGAUUUAUUAAAAGGAAGUUUCACAUGUUUUUCCAACAUUACAUGCAUUGUACUGAGAAGCCUUAAUGUCCAAAGUUCUUUAAGUUUUAUUUUUCUUGACAAACUUAGACAAAAUUUUAAAACUAAGGUGACCUAACCUCCUAUGCCAAAUAUCACCAUUAUUAAUUUUUGAGGCAACUAAAGUACUCGUAGGUUUAUUUCCUACUCUUGCAACUUUGGAAGAUAGUGGGUAGAGUGUUGUUCCUGAACUAGGGGUGGCAAUCCAGCUCGCUGUUCGCGAGCCUCGAAAUAAGCUUGAGAUCGAAUCGCUCGUUUAGUAAACGAGCUGAACACGAGCUCGUUUAGUAACGUUCGUGUUCGGCUCGAUAAUAGUUCGAAUACAUAUAUUUUAUAUUUAUAUAUAAAUAAAUAAUUAUAUAUAUACAAUACGGAUUUUUAUUUUUUGANCGUUCGUGUUCGGCUCGAUAAUAGUUCGAAUACAUAUAUUUUAUAUUUAUAUAUAAAUAAAUAAUUAUAUAUAUACAAUACGGAUUUUUAUUUUUUGAUUUUUAGCCCAACUUGAAUAUAAAGCCCAACUCAAUUAUAAAAAGGUCCAUUUAUGUGUAAAGUUUCAACCAUUAGAUCAAAGCCUAAUCGGUAAGAUCUCGAAAAUUUAUAUCCUAUAUAUAUCAUUUCUAAUCUUUUAACUUGUUGUUAUUAAUGAGCCAAACAUGAGCUGAAUUUUUCGGCUCGAUAUUUUAAUGAGCCAGCUUGAGAUUAGCUCGUUUAUGAAACGAGCCGAACACGAGCCGGCCCCAGCUCGCUCGUGUUCGGCUCGUUGACAACCCUAUCCUGAACUACGACAUUGGUGGUGCUCCUUUCUUGUUUCGUUGUCCUUUACACCAGAAACAACAAAAUCAAAUUCAAAAGAAGAGUUAUUAUCAUGAUAGAAUUUGCGAAUAGAGAGCAAAUUUCUUUUAAUAGCAGGAACAAUACGGACAUUCUUAAGGUUAAAGGAUUCAGGAGUACUUAAAGUUGUUUCGCCCUUAUGAGUUAUAGAGAGUAGACCUUUACCAACAAAAAUUUUAUCUGUUCCUAAAUAAGGUGUAGAUUUAAAAACUACACCUGAGUCUGAUAUCAUGUAAUUCGAUGCUCCAGUAUCAGGAUGCCACACCUCCUCUGAAGAGUCAUGGAGAUUCAUAGUAGCAAGAUUUGCCGUAUAUCAUCCGCAACAAAGGCAUUGGUUGAACCUCUGCCUUCACUGGACCGCAGUGUGGUUGAACUUGCCACAUAUUUGGCACUGGGUUUCACUGCGAGGCAUCAUUGGUCCAGGCUGUUGCUGAGGUUGUGGAUGAGGUAUAGGUAGGUAAUAUUGAUGUUGUUGGGAGGGAACUGCUUCAUAUUGUCCCUAUCCAGACUCUGGGUUACACCCUCCUCGCUGCUGCCCUCGACCUCUUGAUCUACUGGUCCGGCCUCCCCAGUUUUCUCUUCCAUGAUUUGCAUCUAGAUUCUGUAGGAGUUGUAUGUUGAAUAGAAAUAUUAAAACAUCAUUCUCUGGCAGCUGAAACUUUAGAGAGAAAUAGUUGUUUUAUUUAAUUUAACAUGGUAGCAGAGUAAAAGGUCUUGAGUUCGAAUCACGUUAGACUUCUAGCGUUAUUCAAUUUCCUCCCAUUUAAUUUAGUUCAUGUCUUGGGCCUAUCAAGAAGUUUUGAUCCUAGACGUGAGGAGUCUUGAAUAUAAAUGUUAAAAACACUGUUCUCUAAUAGUUUAAGCUUUUGGAGAAAAAUGAUUGUUUCAUUUAAUUUAACAACUCAUUUACCAAUGUUGCAAGGCCCUUUGGCAAACAAAAGAGAUGUCCUAGAGAAGACUUGAUGCUUUAGUACACUUUAGGGAUUUGUCUGGUACUUAAGUAAUCCAUAGAGCAAUUCUGUGCCUUGAUGACUAAAGUUCAAUCUUGCCUUCAUUGUUGUAACUUUUAUCAUUUGUAAUUUUCGAGUAGGAGUUUGUUCGGAGAGAUAUGCUGAAAUAUCUCGGUCUUUGCAGCUGAGAUGAAGAAGAAUAAAUUCACAGUAGUAUAGGUAGAAUUUGUCAUGGAGAUUGGAGCGAACAAAUGGGUGUACUCUCAAGUUGGCUUUUUUUUUUUUUACUGGGUCCAUGUGAGCUGAAUUUGGUCGAGUUUCAAAUUUGAACCUUUAAAGGAGUUAUUACAAAUUUGAAAAUAGUUGUUAAUGUUUUUGCAAAUGCGUGAUUCCCUGACGGUUGCCUCUUAUAGAUAUGUAUCUAUUUUGAACUAUUCUUCUUUGCAUUUGGUUAACUGUAGCAUGCCCUUCACAAACAUGAUUAUCAUGUUCUGAUUUAUUUUAUUUUAUUUUUUUUCCUGAACUUAUGUUUUUGUAGUUUCACCUGCAAAAGACUUCUUUUUUUUUUUCUUUUCCUAAAUGAAUGAGACAAUGAAAAUUGAUUCAUUUUCCCAGAAAUUUGCUUACAUUUUCUUUCAAAAACAGGUGACAGGGUUCAGGGUGUGCGUACCGUUCUUUACAAAUUCAGCCAGUGGGUGAGCUUUUCUUCAUGGCCGGCCGUGAGCUAACAGUGACAUGUACAAAUACAAACUCGUGUUAAAUUAUUUGUAUAAGAGUCCAUGCGAUCGCUACUAUCUGCUAUUCAUGGCGGUAUUCUUGUUCGGCUGCUGUGAUGUCAAUGCACAAGAAGACCUGUCUACACGUAGGCUAAAUUGCUGAUGUCUUCUCGCUAUGAUCGCAGUUUCAGUGAAGUUCUUAUGUUGUUGUGUUUACUACUAUUAUGGGAAUAAAUGAGUUCAAAGGCGCAAGCGGAAGGGUUGCACUCAUUAUCAUGACAUCUUUGCAGAGUUCACAGUUUUUGUAAUUUGAUGUUAACUAGAUUAUGUGCUGUGACAUUUCUUCUUCUUUUUUUACCCCUCUGUUGUGAGCUUGGUGUGUAGCUAAGAGGGAGAAUGUAAGCCAAUAUUUUCUCAUGAAUGUUUGUUUGCAAACUGCUUGUGUCAUUUAUCAGUUCUCCUUGAGAAGGAAAUAAUAAAGUUUGAUUAUUUAUUGGGUUGGAGGAAAUUUUGUUUUGAUUUUGUUGUACUCUCUUUUUUUCCCCUUAUUUCUUUGUUGAAUAUAGGUAAAACAUUUGUGACUGCAAAUCUGCAGUAAAUUUUAUCCCUAUGGGACAAUCGAAAAUGCAAUGUUUUUUCCCCCCUUCACUCCCCAAUUUCCUCAUUCUUUUCUCUGCUUUUUUUUUUUUUUUUUUAAUUGCUUCCAUUUAUUCCCUCUCUCUGUACCUUCAUUCCUCUGUUCCAAUUGGACUUGAGAUUAGUAAGAAUGAAAACAUUAGUUAUGCUCAGAACAGAGUCUAAGUUUGGACUCUAUUCUUUGUAAAAAUAACCUUUCUUUGUGGGGAGGUUUGUGACUUAUGAAGCUCUACUCAUUCAAAUACACUUGAGAUGUUACCGGAGAAAAGUUAAAGAAACAUUUAACCUCAUAGAUUUCAACCUAAUGUUAAUCAAGUCCUAAGUUAUAUUUAAUAUUUUUAGAUUGUUGAUUGAUUUAGAAUUGAUGAAUUUAAGUAUCAAAAGCUACGGGGCCUGCUUGACUUUAAGGCUUAGUUUGAUAUUGAAGCCUAUCUAACGCUAUUAGAUAAAAUCGAGUUGUGGAAAAAGCAUAUAGGGAUAUGCUUCUGCGUUCUUCGAUGGGACCGUAGAAAAUAUAUUGUAACCGACUUAUCGCGAUAUGCGGAACGCAAUAUUACGUACGGAAACAAACAGGGUAUUUUUCCAACGUACUUUCUCACCGCACGUAACGCAAUCUCCCCGCAAUCCCUAACGAAGCCUAAGUCUUCUACUAAGGAUGUAGUAGUGUUUGACGAAGCAGUCUAAUAGUCUUUUAGAAGAAAACACUAUUUUAUAACCAACAACAAUUAAUUGAUGUAGUUUUAGCAGUGAAAAAUAAAUUUAUUAAAUCUGAUCAUUAUUCGCAUAUUGAAUCUGACUAGAGGAAGUAAUUUUCAGACUUAGUAUAAUUUUUUUUUUUUUUUUGAGAGAUAGAUAGAACGCUACCCACUUCGUUUAUUUCAUUUAGAAAUUAACUUAGCUGGAAAUGUGAAUCAACUAGGAUUCGAACUUGGGACCUCGGAUACCAACCACCAAAUUCUUUGCCACUUGUUCUAGGGAUGGUUGGUAGGCUUAGUAUAAAAUUAAAUAGAGAAAUGGUUUGGGUACCUCACUUUUGGACAACCCAUUAUAUUGUUGAUGUGUUGGGCUCUCCAUAUGGAGUGGUUAGGGUUUAGGAUUUAGUAUAUAAUAAUAAUAAUAAUAAUAAUAAUAAUAACACUUAGGGUUCGGGUUCGAUUCCAAGCGUAAUUGAUCCCUGAACCAAAAUGCACUAUGAGGCUUCUCUACCUUCUUUGUUUCAACAAAUGGACCACAAAUAGAGUCCCCUGUAUACACCAUGUGAAUGAGAAUCCAACUGAAUCUUAUUGCCUUUGCAAAGGAAGAUACAGUUUGAGCCCCAAAAAGAUGAGCAUUUGCCACUAUGAGACUCUUCCAACCUAACCAUAUCAGAAAGUGCCGCAACUAUUCAUCUCACUUACCGACCAUUUCUAGAGCAAGUGACAAAAGACUUGAUAGUUGGUACCCGAGACCCAAGUUCGUGAAAGGCAUGAUCAUUUUCGCUUUGAUGAAAUCCAAAGGAAAGAAUAGCAGACUGAAAUUUUUCAAACCAAGCUCGGGGAGCUUGUUUAAGGCCAUAUAAAGCCUUCCGUAGCCGGCAAACAUGACCAGAUGAAUGGGAAAGACCAGGAGGUGGUUGCAUAUAAACUUCUUCAUGAAGAUCCCCAUGUAAGAAGGCAUUUUUGACAUCAAGUUGAUAAAGAGGCCAGCUACGAGAGGCAGCAAGAGCGAUAAGGAUGCGAACAGAGGUCAUCUUAGCAACAGGGGCGAAUGUCUCCUCAUAAUCAAUGCCAUAUUCUUGAGAGAACCCUCGAGCAACUAAACGGGCUUUAUAGCGAUCAAUUGAGCCAUCAGAAUUUGUCUUGACUUUAUAAAUCCACUUACAACUUAUUGGAGUCUUGCCNUCCUAGUUGAUUUACAUUUCCAGCUAAGUUUAUAUCUAAAUAAAAUAAACGAAGCGGGUAGCGUGCUACUUAUUUCUCAAAAAAAAAAAAAAAAAAAAAACACUAUUCAUCUCACUUAAUUAUCUCUCCAUGUAGUAACAUCUCUCUUUCCAUUGGGUCCAAUUAUUUCUUCUUGGUGAAAAGCAUGGCUCACAAUGUUAGAAACGUAUCAUGUUUUCUGCUUGCUGUUGAAAUGAGAAAGGGCACUUGUACAGAAGUGGCUAUGGACCCCCUGAACAUUUUAAAAGUUACGCGCGAAUCGCUAACUAUUUACGUAUAGUGAAUUGGUUAUGCUUGUGCUAAUUCUUUCAGUUUCAAUCGCAACUACUGAAUCAAAUUUAAACUAAGAUAGUAGAUGGAAAUUGAGAAUUCUCAUUGGAUUCAGUUUUUGCUUAGAAAUAGCUAGCUGUUGUUAUUUUAUUUCUUUUUUUUGAGAGAGAAAGAUAGCAUACUAUCUGUUUCGUUUAUUUUUUUCUUAAUAAAUAAACUUAGCUGGAAAUGUGAAUCAAUUAGAAUUCGAACUUGAAAUCUCGGAUACCAACUGCGAAACUCUUUGCUACUUGCAUUAGAGACGGUUCGGAAUAAUUUUGUCUAUCUUUCAUUCCAGUUAUCAAGUAAUUUUUUUUUCCACCACAAUUAGAAAGAUGUUAUAAAUAAGAAAAGAAAAAUUAAAAGCAGCUUUCUACCUCAGAACAAACAAUUUUGGGAAAAAAUUAAUAUAAAUAUAUCUAAAUUACAUUGCGAUUGACUUUAACAUGCAUUUGAGUCUUUUUGUGUUUUUGAAACAAAAAAUGUGCUCACUUUGAGAUAUAAAAGUGCAUAGUGUAAGUUGUAAUGGAGGACACAGUGUUCUAGAAUGUGUCAGAACCUAACUUGGGUGAUCCACAUUAUGUGAGCUCAUGAGCGGCGUCCAAUUUAUUAUUCACAUAAAUUUAAAAUUCGUGUCAUUUAUGUGAUGAGCGUCAAAUACAACGGUUCACAUGUUAGGCCCGGUCUCUACCAAAUUUUUGUUCUCACUUCAUCAUCAUAAAAAAAAAAAAAAAAAAAGGUCAUCUUUGAGAUCCAAUUUCCAAAUGCAUGCAGUGUCUAAAAUUUAAAAGUUUUUUUUUAAAAUUUUUAUUUUUCUGUUUUAACAUUAUAAAAUGAUGGUAAAAGUUAGUGACAACUUAGCUUGUGGUAUAGUUUUGAUUCAACAUAUCAUCCAACCGGAGGAUAAAGAAUUGUUAGAACAAAAGCGAAAAAGAUCUAAUUCAUAGGGUGCAAAAAUAUCAAAAAAGAAUCAUGAAUGAGAGAAGAAAAAUAAAACACAUAAUAUUUACGUAAUUCGACCGCUAGCCUACAUUUACUGACGAAGAUAUAGAAGAGAUCUUCAUUAUAAUUAAUGUGGUAUACAAAAUAUGUCUUUUUUUACAAAAUUCUAGUCCUAAAAUAUAUAUUCAUAUUCUUUCUCAUCUGCGACAUCAAAUUAAUAAAAUAAAAGUAUAUUUCUAAUAAUAGCUAAAUUCUAGUAUACUUACAAAUACAAAUUUAAUAAUAUAAUUUAAAAUAGAAUAAAAUUUUAGAGUUCUAGAAUUCCGUACAUAACUAACAAGAAUCCGUUACAGCCCCUGCUCAUUCUCCUCUGUUUCAUUCAUUCAUCAACUCAUGCAUCAAACGCUCCCUCUAUCAAAACAUGCAUCACUCGGAACUCCUCUUUAAUUAGAUGGAUAAAGAAAGAAGAAAAACAACAGGAACAACAAUUGAGCAUGCAUCUAAUUAAUUGAUUUCUUUUUUAAAAUUAAGGUAUUUAAUUAAUUAAUUACUUUAAACAGGCACAGUCUUGGAUGUGUCCUCCUCUGGCUGGUGCUCAUGCUCAUCAUCCUCAUGCUCGCCAGACAGCUCCUCCAGCGACUUCCCCUUCGCCUCCGGCACCAGAAAAGUGAAGAGCAGCCCCAGCAGGUUGCAGCCGGCGAGCGCGAACAGCGAGUUCCGCACGCCGAUCCCCUGCGCCGCGUAGAGGAACCCGAACGAGCCCACGAUCGCCCCCGCCUUCCCCGCCGCCGCCGAUAUCCCGUGGCACGUCGACCGCAGCCGCGCCGGGAAUAUCUCCGCCGGCACGACGAACGUCGUCGCGUUCGGCCCGAAGUUGGCGAAGAAGAAGGUGAACGCGUACAUGACCACGAACCCGACGUGGUUCCCGGGCGUCGUCCAGUGGCGGUAGGGGAUCGCCAGCCCCAGCAUGAACACGGUCAUCAUGAAGAACCCGGCGAGCUGGAUCGCGAACCUGCCGAUCACGUCGAUGAACGCCACGGUGAACCAGUACCCGGGGACGGUGCCGCACAGCGCGAUGAGCGUCUGCGCGCGGGCGAUGCGGAACACCUCCUCCGUCGCGCUCAUCGUCCGCGCCUUCGGUAUCCAGUUGAUCGCGCUGAAGAUGUCCUUCUGGAACAAGUUCUGGCUGUAGAACGCCACGUCCAGCGCGAACCAGCAGACCGCCGUGCCCACCAGCUGCCGCCCGUGCCGCCGCGCAAACUCCUUCGAGAACAACCCGAAGCCGACUCGGCGACUCACCGAGCGAUCACGCGGUUUAUUGUUAUUAUUAUUAUCUUCUUCUACGUCGGUGGCGGCAGUGAUGAUGUCGACGUUCAGCACCUUGGACAUGUCGGCGGCGGCCAGCUUGGAGUUCCUGGCGACGAGCGCGGUGUAUCGCGCGGUCUCGGGCAUCUUCGUCCGCCAGUAGUAGGUCAGCAGGGCGGGGACGGCGCCGAACAUGAGGAUGAUACGCCACACGUAGUCGGCCUGCGGGACGGUGGAGCGCGAGGGGUCGUCGUCGUAGGCGGGGGCGCGGAAGCGGGCGUCGAAGGCGGCGGAGACGGCGAGGGUGACGACGCCGCCGCAGAGGAUGCCGAAGCCCUGCAUGGCGAAGACGGCGGCGAUGAAGGAGCCGCGGGUGCGCUUGUUGGCGUACUCGGACAUGAUGGUGGCGGAGAGGGGGUAGUCGCCGCCGAUGCCGAAGCCGAGCCAGAAGCGGAAGAAGCAGAGGGUGGCCAUGACGGCGUCGGCGGCGGGGCCGAAGGAGAGGCCGGAGGCGAGGGAGGAGACGACCAUCAUGAUGAGGGUGAAGCCGUAGACGGACUUGCGGCCCAUCUUGUCGCCGAGCCAGCCGAAGAAGGCGACGCCAUUGACGGCGGCGGCGACGUUGGGGGGGAGGAUGCCGGGGGCCGGGAGCCUGGGGCGUAGUAGUAGAUGCGGCCGAGGAGCUUGGUGACGAGGGAGAUGCAGAAGAGGUCGUAGGCGUCGGUGAAGAACCCCAUGCCGGCGACCACGAUCGCCGUGAAGUGGUACCACUGCGUCUUCGCCGCGUCCAGCGCGUUCAGCACCUGCAGCUUCUUCUCCUGCGCCAUCCCCCCGCCGCUGCCACUGCCGCCGCCGCUGCUGCUUCUUCUUUUCCUUCCUUCCUUCCUUAGUGACUAAUGAUCAAUUUAUGAUCUUCUUUUGAUGACUGCUGCUGAAUUCCUGAAUUCCUGAAUUCCUGAAGAAGCUGCUGUCUGUAAAGGGGAGAAGAAACAGAGAGAAAGAAGAAGAGCUGUGAGACAAGAUUCUGAUUUAAGAAAGCAAUAAAUAUAUAUAUAUAUAUAUAUAUAUAUAUAUAUAUAUAUAUAUAUAUAUAUAUAUAUAAAAAUUGAACGCGGAUACUUUGAAAAGCACUAAGAGUGGUGUUUUUAAAUUUGUAAUCUUUAGGGUGGAGUUGUUGCAAACUAGAAUGAUAGAAACCAUUUAAAAUUUAGUUGAUGAUAAUGAAAUAAUGUUUGAUUUAAAAGAGCUGGAAAUGGUCAAAAGGUACUCCAAUAGUAAAAAAUCUAAAAAAAUCAGAAUUUUGUGUUUUUAAUAUAUUCUAGCUUAACUCUCUCCCUCUCCCCCUUUCUUUCUUUCUCUCUCUCUCUCUAUAUAUACUAUAUUGUAAAACAAAAAUAUUUUUGAUAGUAAAAAAAAUAGUGUUUGCUAUUAUUAUUUUUUUCCCAUUGAAUGUGUAGGAUGUAAACAUCUUUCAAAUUUUUUCUUUGUACACUCAAUCAUAUUUUUUAUAUUUAUUAUUUAUUUUAUUAUAUUUAUAUAAUUAAAAUAUGAUUAUUUAUUAUAUUAUUUUUAAAAUAUAUUCUAUCGCAUUGGUACUUUUAAUAACGAAAGAUUCGACUACAGAAAAUAAAAGAUCGAAAACCGAAUUUCUUUUUUCAAAAAGAAAUGCAUUGGGCCCUUUAUUGUGUGUUCCUCACUAUAUUGUGGAUGUGUUAGACAACAAAAUAAAUUUUUACGUGAAACUGAAUAGAAAUUAAAGAAAAAAAACCAAAAUAGUUUACUUUAAAUUAUAGAAAAAUUACUAUAUCAUAUGGAAGCUUUUGAAAAUUUACUUUUAAAACGUGAAGAUGAUUAUAAAAAUGUUGCCUUUCUUUUUAUAAGUCAGGACAAAUUUGUUGACCACAGUAGUAGUCGAAGCAAUGUUGAUGACUAAUUUGAAGAAUAAAAAAAAAAAACAAAAAGCUUUUACUUGGCUCUAUAUCGUGACACGACAACAUCAUGCUCCACUUUAAUUACACUGUACCUCAAACUUUUUCUUCCGCAAAUUUUAAUUUAUUAUACUUUUUAGUUCGAGUUUAAAGAAUUAUAAUUAAGUUUCAUAAUUUAAUUUAAUUGACUGAAUAUUAAUAUAUUAUUAAUAUAAAAGUAAUGUGGUACCUCAAUAUUUAAUGAGCUAAGUUUGGUUUGUGAAUUUGAUUAUAAUAAUAUAAAAAUUUGAGCGAAAACUUAUAAUAAAUUAAUAAAUUAAAAUAUGAGAACCGAGUGUCACAAGCCUUAUGUAACUUAGCUAAAUAUUAAUAUUAAAAGCUUAAAAAGUUUUUGAAAAAAAUGUAAGUAAUUAAAGAGACCAGCAACUUCUAGAGGAGUGAGUCAGCGAAUCCAAAAUUCUAAAUGGGUAAGUUGGAAGCUAAGAUGAGUGGGAAAAGCUAUGCAAGAUUAUAUAAUUAGUUAAUUACAAAGUUAAAAUAAUAAUAAUAAUAAAAAUGGUAGAUUUGGUAAUUAAAUUCGCGCUGAUAAGUUAAUACGCAGAUUAUCUGAGCGAAGAAAGAGAGUGUUAGACGUAAUUAAAAUUAUUCUAUGGUUACGUAUUUGGGUCAAAUAAUCAAAUGUAAAUAAACUAAUAUAAUGACAUAAAUAUAUAAUGCGUAAAACAUACCGACAAUAUAUAUAUAUAUAUAUAUAUAUAUAUAUAUAUAUAUAUAUAUAUAUAUAUAUAUAUAUAUAUAGAGAGAUGGNGGUAAAACAUACCGACAAAAUAUAUAUAUAGAUUAUUUCGCAUGAUUAUUUUUACUUAAAUUAAUAUUUAAUUGUACAUAAUUAGGGGCCGUUUGGCUAGACGCAGUUGCAGAAAAAGUAUAAUUGAAAGUAUAUGCAGUUAUAAAUACUGCAGUCGUAACUACACCAGACUGUUUGGUUUUAUACAGUUGCAAUGGCUGCCGUUAUAUUUUUUCUAUUUGGUAUACUUCAGUUGAGAUUUGUAUUUGUAAAUCCGGUCACUUUUAGAUAGAAAGGUAAAAUUAUCUCUUUUAAAUAUAACAUAAUUAUGAGAUCUUUUAAUUAUUAAUUAAGAUUUUUAUAUCUAUAUAUAAUUUACAUAUUAUAAAAUUAUGUAUGAAUUUAAUGAAUUUUAAAUGAAAAUAUAGGGAAAACUUCAAAAAUCCCCCUUGUGGUUUUAAUUUUUUUCACUUUAGUACCCUGUGGUUUAAAAUGUAUCAAGUUAGUACCUUGUGGUUUCUCACUUUAUCACUUUAGUACCCUGUGGUUUAAAGUGUAUCAAGUUAGUACCCUGUGGUUUUGUAUUUUAUCACUUUAGUACUCUGUGGUUUUGAUUUUGUAUCAAAUUAGUACCCUGUGGUUUUUUAAACUAUAGGGUACUAAAGUGAUAAAGUGUGAAACCACAGGGUACUAAAGUGAUAAAGUACAAAACCACAGGGUACUAAUUUGAUACACUUUAAACCACAGGGUACUAAAGUGAUAAAGUGGGAAACCACAGGGUACUAACUUGAUACACUUUAAACCACAGGAUACUAAAAUGAAAAAGUGUGAAACCACAUAGGGGGUUUUUGAAGUUUUCCCGAAAAUAUAUUAUAAAUUUGAUCAAAAUAAAAAUUAAGAUAUUAUUGAAUGAGUAUAUUGGGAAAAAUAGAAGCGUAUGAAAAAAAUUUAUUGGACCACAGCAGACAUUAUUGAACCUUAGCAGCUUUCGUGAAUAGGUAUUCUUGGGGGAAAAAAAAAGUAAAAAAAAAAAGCCUAUGAAAAAAAAAAUCACACUAUUUUCUCUUAAUAGGUGAGCUGAUUUCGGCAACUGCAGCAGUUGGACUUUUUCAUACCGAUACAACUAUAGCAGUUGAGCCUAAUUAUAUAAAAUUAAAUAAAAAUUUAAUAGAUGCAUGCAUUUUUAACUGCACUGCAGGUGGAAAUGCAUGCAACCAAACAACUCCUUAUUACUGUAUAAAAAUUUCUGCUAUAUACAAAUUUAAAAAUAGAAUUUGAGUUCAAGUGUUACAGUUGGAACUGUAUAUAUAGCAUUGCUAGUAAUAACAAUUAAUCAAAUUAUCUUACCUGCUACUCUCUUUCUUGCAUUCAAGAAAUGUAGAACAUUAAACCCAGGAGCUGCAAAAGAGAGAGAGAGAGAGAGAAUGAUAAGUUGAGAAGAGAGAGAAAAUGUUAAGGGAAAGUUAGGGGAGAAGGUGUAGAGUUAGAGGCGGUAUUUAUAGUGGCGGAGCAUAACGGAAUCUGUAUACGGAAUAUUACUGCGCCGUCAUUUUCGUCGGGGUCCGUCGGUCAACGCUGGUUGACGGCGUAGCAUGUAACGUACUAUGCGGGCGUGGCGCCCACACGACGCGCCACCUCAAACGCGCGCAAUUGUUCCGUUCCCACGAGCAUUAUUUGUUUCAAACCAAAUUAUCGAACUAAACAAAUUUAUAUUUUAUAUCAACCGUCCCUGUAACAAGUGGUAAAAAAUUUGAUAAUUGAAACUCAAAAUUUUAAAUUUGAAUCUUGAUUCAUAUUUUCAGUUAAGUUUAUUUUUAAAUAAAAUAAACGAAACGGAUAGCGUGCUAUCUAUUUCUCAAAAAAAAAAUAUUAAUAUAUUUAAAAAGUAUGAGUUAGAUCCUAUGUUUUUGAAAGUACGGCGACCUCCGUACUUGUAAAUUAUUUUUGAUGAUGCGACGUUCGAUUCGGAGAUCGAUUCAAUUAGACAUGAUUUAUGCUAUUAAAACUAUCUAGAAAUCAAAUUUCAUAAUUAUUUUAUUUUAUUUGGCUAGUAAAUGAGAGUAGUUUUAGAAUGAACGACUGAAAAUAAAAAUUUCAUAAAAAACUGAAACUUUAAAUCAGAAAUAUUAAUUCCACUAUUGAUAUUAAGUAAAAUUUUUUAUUAAAGUUUCAUAUAAUUUUGAUUGUUCUACGCCGUUGAACUUAAAAAUAUACCAUAUUGACUGUUAAAAUAGUUAUUUUUGAGAUCUUUUUGAUCACUUAGUAAACUAUAUCAAAAAAUUAUGAAAUUUGGUUAAUAGAUAAUUCCAAUAGCGUAGAUUAUGCCUAACGGAGCUGAUCGUCAAAUCAAAUAUUUUAUCAUCGAAAACAACUUACAAAUAUGGAGACCUCCGUACUUUCAAAAACACAAGAGACAUACUCUAACAAGUAUUAUUAUAAUUAUAAAAAAUUAGUUUUUAAAAAAAUUAUUAUAAAUUAUGCGAUGAAUAAUUCACCGCUUAAAUUUAAUUUUAUAAUCAGCUCGUACUCGACGUAGGAGGAUCGGAUUGCGACGAGACUUAGAUUCGUUGGAUUCGGAAUUUCGAGAGGAAUCCACAAGCCCUUACUUGCCGGAUUUGGUGAAGGUUAGCUUGGUUGAAUCCCUUUUCUACUCCGUUGCUGUGAAAUUCGGACUGAAUUGGUGGAUUUUGAUCGUAGAGCUUGGAGUUAGCUCGAGUGCUAGACUUGGAGGGUUCCAGUUGAUCCAGCAGGGAUCACUUUGGUUCGAGGCUUCAUUCGCUGCCAGGAGCUAGCUUUUUGAGGUGGGUUACAUCGGUUUUGACUCCUAAGUUCUAAUCGUCGACAUGUAUGAUUUUGGUGUAGUCUAUUCUAGCUCGAAUUUAUGGAUUAUAUUGUAGAUUGCAAAUCUGAAUUUGGAGCAUGUGGUAAUAAGUUGAGUAGUUUAUACAUGUUGGACUUGGAAUUUGACUUAGAAGAAAACCUGCGAUUUGGACCUGUCACUUGUUUAAACUGCCUGAUUUAGCUCUAGGAGCCGUUAUAAAAUUGUACUGUCGCAGUAUUUUUGAUACGAGUACUCCAGAUAGUUUAGAAUGCAUUUACGCUCGUGUUGGUACGCCGAGUGGAUUUUUACAGGGUCAUUUGGCUGUUUCGGACUUUUGGGCGCCGUUGGAGUUGACGGUGGGCCCGGUUCGCCGUUUUGGCGUCAGAUUGUGCCGAUGGCACGUUACUUGUUUAUUGUUAGACCAGUUAGAGUCGGUUACUUAGACUUUGGCUUGACAGAGCCUGAUUGAGCUCGACAGAGAUACGCUGCAUACUCAGUUGGGUAGCGCUCACGAGUGCCACUCCGGAGACGGCUUCGUGCUUUCGCGUUGGUGUCGCUCAUGCCGGUUGGACUUGCUCUUCAUGGACCAGUUAGUAUGGAGGUAGCUGGAUAGUCGCAACUGGGCAGGGACGGGUGUAUUCACAAUCCCAGGGACGGGUAUGUUUACAGUCCCGAUUGGAUUGGGUCAGAUUUCACAUUUCCUACAGUUGGUUAGUGUAGAGCAUGACAGUGUAGUGAUUUGUAGCGGUUGAGUUUAUUUCCUGCAUUUUCCUACUAUCCUGGCUCCCCUCUGUAGACUUAGUGGGUGGACCGAUGUUGUUUGGCGGCACCCACUGAGGACUAUUUGUUUUUAUAGUAGUUCUCACGCCCAGUUGUUAUCCCUGUUUUGCAGAGCCACAGGUUUCGGCUGCUGCGCCUUCCGCGGAUCAGGAUUGAGGCAAGGGCGUCGCGAGUUAGAGCCCUACCCGACGUACUGAGCUAGAGGUGCCCCUACUGCAGGUAGAUGUUUUGUUUCGAGUUUAUGUAUAUAGUAGACUUAACUCGCCAGUAUGAGUAGCUCGGUAUUUUGGAUUUGGACUAUGUAUAUGAAACUCAGUUUGUUUAGCUUCUGUUUUCACUACAACAAAACUAUGUUUUAGCGGCGAUUAUUUUUUAAAUUAGCGGCAAUUACAAUUACCGCUAAAAUGUUUUGUGGCAAUUUUAACAAUUGCCGCUAUUGGCAGGGUCGCUAAAAGUUUUAGCGAUAUUUAUUCCGGCGGUUGGUAAAAAUCUAAAUAAAUGCCGCUAAAUAUUAUACAAUAACGACUAUUAUAAAUACCGCUAAAUAGUAUGCAAUAACAACUAUUAUAAAUGCCGCUAAAUAAUAUACAAUAACAACUAUUAUAAAUGCUGCUACAAUUAAUUAUAAUUGCCGCAAAAAACAUACUAAAUGAUUGAUUAAUAAAGCUUAUAGCGGCAAUUAAAUUAAUAUUAAAAUACUUGAUUAACAACUAAAUACUACAAUGAAUUGAAAUAUUAAAAAAUAUUAGUAACCAAAAAGCAUUAAUAAUUUGUAUAACAAAUAGUCUCAACUCUCAAAUUACAAUCUCAGUAUUCAAAUUAAAUUUCGAACAUAAGUUCUAACAAAAAAUACUUGUUCAAAAUGUAGCAAAAAAAUAACAAACACCGCAUGUCUUGCUUCCCACUUCAAUUUUCGCAGCUGCAGUUGAUCUGGAUCAACCAAAAAGAAGUCAUAAAAUUAGUAUCUGAAAUUACCAAAUAAAAAUCAUCAUAUCAAAUUUCUGAAAAACAUAAAAGUUAGGUUGCACUGUUCAUCAACAAAUAAGAAGACAAUAGUUAACAAUAUAUAAAUACCAUAAAGCAUAUCCGCACAAUAAUUAAUAAUGUAAAAGACCAAGUUCUGAUUGAUGAUUAAUCCUAUUUGUGCUUGGUUGAGGAAUAAAGAUUGUUCCGCUAUGGGGGAUAGUAAUAACUGAUCACAAAGUCAAUUUACUGGAGAUAUAACUUGAGGUUAUCUGAUACAAUCUACUGGAGAAUUAACAAUGUAAAAGAUUUCAAAAUUCUCUGUUAUCUCCUAAGCAACAAUUAGCAUGUAUAAUCGAAAAGAAUAGCAAGCCAUAAAAGAAUAGCGAGCCAUACCGUUGAUUGUGCUUCAGCUGACAACUCACACACAACUCAGAUUUCCUCCUGAAAAGAUUUCAAAUUAGAGAAAACAUAAAUAUAUAAAACGGGUGCUUCAGCUGACAACUCACACACAACUCAGAUUUCCUCCUGAAAAGAUUUCAAAUUAGAGAAAACAUAAAUAUAUAAAACGGGUGCUUCAGCUGACAACUCACACACAACUCAGAUUUCCUCCUGAAAAGAUUUCAAAUUAGAGAAAACAUAAAUAUAUAAAACGCUUGAACAUCAUAUGGAGCAAAAUUUCUUUCAUAUCAUGCUGAAAAAAUAACAUCCAUAAAACAUAAUGCAAAACUUGUGCAGCCCUCAACAAAACUAACAAAUUGACACCCAUAAUUUAAAUAAGUCCAAGUAAUUAGAAACCAAACACUUCAUAACCGAGUUAUAGCAAAACUCGGGCAGUGAUCAUCUUUGCCAAACAAUGUUGUAAGUAUGUGAGCAUUCUUCCACAACAUAAUUUUGAGUCAAGAUGGCUUGGUUAUCCCUUGAUCAACAGUAGGAAGAACCAAAGGAAAAAUUAAAAUUAAGUACUGGCUCUAAAAUAAAUUUAGAGCAAUAAUGCACAUUGUCUAUUUGCAAGUUAAGCCCUUUUUUUUCCUGAUCAAAGUACUAAUAUAUUAUUGUUUGGAUAGAAUUAUUUAACAAAAUUCUACAAAACUCAAAAGAAUAAGUUUCAAAAUAGAACUUCUACUUUCGCUAAUGAUCAUCUCGAACGGUAAAAAAACCAUGAAUUUUGCAGAUAUAUGGGGUGAAGAAAUUGUUACAGAAACAAAGCCAGAUAAGCACUAAUGCCGCAAAGUGUGUACAAGAGAUUCAUGGAAUUAAUUGAAAAUCUCCAAUGGUAAUAAAUGUGAUUUAGAACCUAAUAAGCCAUAUAUAUGUUUGCAAGAAUUCGAAAAUUCUGAAACAAUUUAAAACUCUAAUUUUAAUAGAAUAAGUACUACAAGAGGCUAUAAUUAAUGUAGCAACUCAUUAAAGAUUAAGAUUAUGAAAGGCUAUACAGCUACGCAGUAAUAGAAAAGCAAAAAAAGAAAACUAAGAUUCAAAGAGAACGUUGCGAUAAUGAGGGGGAAAAAAAAAAGAAAAAAAAAAAACUAGCAUCAGAUCAUCAUCAUUGUUAAGAAACUUUUAGUCUAAUAUAAAUAUUUGAAGGAAAAAGAUGCUGGAGGGGAAAUUGUGUUUGAAAUAACCAUGCUUUUUGGAAGGAGUUUUUUUUUUUUUCCUCUUGCGUUCGCAUCGACUCAUUUUCCGCUUUGUUGCUCUUGCUUCACCCUGAACUCCGCCACGGCAUUUUCAAACGUCGUCGUCACGUGCUGGCACAUCACCAUUAAGUCCUGUAAUCCAUCUUUCAGCACAUCCUUUGCUGGAUCACCCAUUGGUCCAACCAAGUAUUACAAACAAGAAGAGAGAAACAACGGCCAGAAUAAUUUUAAAAAAGACGAAGAAGAAGAAGAAGAAGAAGAAGAAGAAGAAGAAGAAGAAACUUUUCUAACUGCAAUUUGAUUCUUCUUUCAAUUUAAUUAGAGAAAAACAAUAAUAUUCUGUAAUCAACAACUGAAGCACAGAUUGGGUAUUCUAAGGAAAACUGGCAUAAACUGGGCUCAGCUACUUGAGAAUAGCUUUUCUCCGUGCAGUUAUAUAUGAAGUAGGAAAGCCAUCGAAAUAUUUUAUCCGUCUUCGAGUCUCUGCGUAUCAUCUUGAAAUUCAAUAAAAAAAUGCAUUAGUUAGUCCUUGCACUUUUAGUGAAUCGCAACUUCGUCACUAAUCCUUACUAGUCAUCAGAGAUUGUCGUCUCUUCUCCUAGCAGAGGCUAAAGAUUAGACAAAUUGAAUCACACUGCAAGAAAUUGACCGAGUUUAGAGCAAAAUUCUGCUUAAGUGAAAGAUCAAGGACCGAAUUGCCAUUUGAGAAAAGUUUAGGGACUACCAAUACAUUCUACCAAUGUUAAGAGUGCAAGACCUUCUAAAGCUAUUGUUCGGCAUAUUAUCCCCAAUGUAUGGUUACUCCUAAUAGAAAGAGGAUGGUGGGUUGCCGCAGAAGCAGAAGCUUCAAAUUGGAGGUCCUGCUUUUAGAUCCUAGAAGCUCAUUUUAGCUUCCAACACAGACAAAACUCUGCACUUCUUUUCCGCUAAAAACCUUGAUUGUAAAAGAUUUUGCCUUCUGGAGUAAAGAAGCUAGCUCUAGAAGGCAAGCCAAACAAGCACUCAAUAAUAAUCAAUUACAACAGAUCGAUAGGUAUACUAAAAGUAAAACGAGCGCGAGCAGAACAGUUAAACUAAUCCCUUCGAAGAGCAUAUGAAUAUAUCAUGCCGCUUAACAAAGAUGUUCAUCCGAAUGACAAUAAUAAUGAUACAUUCAGAUAGAAAGUAUGGGCACAGCGCAUACUAGUCAGAAUCAAAAACUGAAAUCUACAAAAUAGAGAGAAAAGAAGGUGCAUUUAUAACCUGUAGUCUGAACUCUGAUGUUAACUUUAUUAUCGGAAGGAUGAGGGAUGCUAUAUCCGCAAAAUGCCACCCUUGGACUGCAAAAUUUGACAAAAAGGUGAAAAGAAGAGAGACAAGAAAACAUAAGAUCAAGAGUUCGUUGAGUUUUCUAAAUGUUGGGAUAAGCAAACACUAAAACUAAAAUAGGCAUAGGGAAAAACAAUUCAGUGGCGGAUAAUCAAAAGAGGAAAUGCUUGAACAUAAGAUGUUGCUUGAAGCUUGAAAGUAUAAGGUAGUAGGUAAGUUAGCUGUGCUUCAUAUCCAUGGAUUUACUGAAACAUUUUUUUAUUUUCUCCCUAUUUUAUUUGACAUGCAUCAUUGGAGAGCAAGCAUAAUUAAGCAAACGAACUUACUCUUGAUUCAGAACAAAUCUAACAGAGUUUGCUAACGUGUGGUCUUCAUCCAAUAUAGAAAAAGCAUAAGAGAAAUGAUUUUAGGACACUUCAUAAUCAAAGCUACCUCAUAAAGCUUCAAACUUGUAGACACAGCAAAAUUGAUAUAAGAAAUGCAAAGAAGAGAUAUUUACUAAGAUGAAAAUUGUCAGCAAUAAGUAAAUAGAAAAGAUGGAAAUUUGGUGCAAGAAAUACCUUUUUUACUCCAAGAUAACAACUAAAGUGAAACAAAGUUGAAAAUUUGGUGAAGAAGGAUCAAUGAUUGAACCAUCUGAUGAGGCUUGUCACUUUCUUUCAGGAACCCAUGUAUUUCAUUUAUCAUCUGAAGCCAAUUUCUAUGCAAGACACUUUGGUUACGAAUAUGAGGUACUAGGGCUUGAAGAUCAAUUUGUAAUCCAAGUACUUAAUUGGGGAGAUUAUGUGAUAGAGGCUUAAAGAUGAAUUUAUACAUGCAAGCAUCAACUAACUAACCUAAUAAAGGCUUUAAGGGCAUCAGAAGUUGAAAACAAAGUAAAAGCAUAUAGACCUCACCCCAAUUACAGCGCACUUUGGAAUGAGCACCUUAAUUUAAAAGUUGGAUUUUAUUACAAAGCCUUAGAGUAGGACUUGUUUAAGAUUCUAUCUUAUUCAAGGCCUCUUAGUCAGAAUUUGACAGUAUUUUUACCUUUUCUAAUGGAAGAUUCUUUAACCUACAAGAAUAUUCCGUUACUUGACAGAAUAUUCUGUUACUUUUUGACAGAAACUGUCAAGUUCUAACUUUGCUCGACCAAAUUUUCUGAAAUCAUUAGUGGAGUUUUAUGUAGUAAAAUUAAUACUUCUAAGCCGACCGUCUCUAGUGCAAGUGGCAAAGGGCUUGGUAGUUGGUACCCAAGGUCGCAAGUUUGAAUCCGAAUUGAUUCACAUUUCCAGCUAAGUUUAUUUCUAAAAAAAUAAACUAAGUGGGUAGCAUGCUACCUUUCUGUCUCAAAAAAAAAAAAUAAUAAUACUUCUAAAGUUUAGGCACCUAUUCAAAAUAUGCUGAAGUUCAGGUCAAGUUUGUACAUUUUGACUCAAAAAUAAAAAGUUCGUGGAUGUUGAAACAACUUGAAAACAUAGAAAACAAAUAUUGAUAGAAAACCUUUUGUAUGGACAAUCAAAAUAUAUGUGAAAUAAAGAUUAUGGACAAGAUUCUGGAGUUCCUUCUUUUACUUUUAUUGCCCCAGGAUAGAAGUUUUGAGAUGAUUAAUAAAAGUGUUGCCGGAAAUUUGUAAUACCUUAGCAGAAUAGAGAAUCACAUCCUCCUUGCUCAAUUUGAGACAAUGGCUGCCCCCAUAUGAGGCAAGAUUUAGAGCUGCACGUGGUUCUGCCUAACACAACAUUGAGCACACUAAAAUGCUACAAAACUUCUUAAGAGGAACUAGCAGGUAAAUAAAAUGAAAAGUUCUUGCACAACAGUAGAAUGUCUUACUUGUGAGCCAGUUGUAACAAUCAACAGAUCUUUCGGGGCAUAGGCAUCAAUAUCCUCUACUUUCACCUGCAAUAAUAAUUGAUCUUGGCAUAAUUAGUCAGCCGGAAUAAAAAAUUAGGGUAGGGUUUCACUAAAUAAGGAGCAAACUUUUCUGUCUCUGAUGUGUAAACCUAAAACUCUUUUAGAGUUUGCAAUUUUUCAUAGUGAAAAGACAUGGCACUGAAAAAACAUCUUAUACACAUCCCACUCUGUUUCAUGAAAAUAGCCAUUCUUCUCGGUAAAUGAUAAUAAAGAACAAGAUGGUAAGCUUGAAUUAGUAUGGAAAGCAAAAUUAUUGGCAGGUAAUGCAAGUUAUUUAGAUACGGAGCUAAUGAAUAUUUGAAGGAAGCAUAGGCACAUGCGCAUAUCAAAAAAAAUAAUAAUCAUCAUAAGUUGCCUCCUUCACCAAAUCCAUAGUCCUAAUUUACCUCAUAGAGUUUUAAGCUGCCUUAACAUUUGUCAUUUAAGAGGUAUCUAUAUGAUUACAAAAUUAACACAGCUCUUUCAUAUGACCAUGCAAUUAGUUGGGUGUGUUUCAUGGGAAUAAUUUGAGGCCUAGAAUAGAAAUACGAAUAAAUUAUUCCCAUUUUGAUUCCAAUUGCUGGCUACCGCCUUGCUGCCAUCGUUGCCUCUGCCACCACCACCAAUGCCGUUGUCCUGCUACUGGCUGUCAUCAUCAUUAUAAUCACGACUGCCAUCCCAAGGGCCAUAACAACCACAAUUGUUAUAACUAUCGCUGCCGCCACCACCAAUAUCUUGCCAUCACUACAAUUACCAUCCUCACCGCUAUUACCACCAUUCUCACUUGUAGCACCAUACCUUAGCAAACCAAAGAUGGACAUCAUUCAGGUCAGGCCCGUUCUCAACUAGUGUAAUUUUGCGGGCUAGGUCCGCAAUAUUCAAUACAUAUUCCAAAUCUGAGCCUGCUCCAAAUUGACCGGCUUGCAUAAGAAACCGGCUUGGGCCAAGUAAACAGAAGAAAGAAAAACUUGAGACUGACCCAGAUUUUCUCUGGCUUCAAAAUUUGAGGCCAUAUCAGGACUGAUGAAGCAAGCCAGCCUCAACCCAACUUGCAAACAAUUGUGAUGGUCUAACUCAAGGUUUAAAGUGCCGUGACACGGGGGCGUGCCGUUAUGUCCCUGGCACGGUACGGCACAGACACGCUUGUGUGCUGAUAGAUACGCAUGACCUCCUACUGGCAUGCUUUGGCACGGACUUAUUUUAGUUUUUUGGUUUCACUUUCAAUAACAUCAACAAAUUCAGACAGUAAGCCUUUUAGAAGCAAACUUGGACACAUUACAAACUGAUCAAAUAUUUCAACAUCAUCACAUAUAAUUAAUUAAUAUUUACUUUUUUUUUUACUUCAGAUUAGCAAUAUCAGAAAUCUAAUACUUUGAAAACACCAAGACAUUCAAUUCAGUUAAAACAUGAAAUUCGACUAAAACACCAACAUACUAGAAUGCUUACAUCUAAGGAGAAAUAAAAUAGUAAAUGGACAAAGCCAUUCAAGUCCGCUUAUAAUCUAAACGUGAUGGCUAUUUACUGAAAACAGUAGAUAUAAUAUGAUUCAAUCCCUGUUUACGUAAAAUCCCACUCACAUUUAGUUUUUGACCAGAGUCAGAGCUGUACUGCUGCUACAUAUGCCUCAUAAUAUUACUUUAUAUCUUACUAAUAUAUUAGUAAAUUUAUUUAACACUUUAAAUUACUUACGUGUAUAAUUCUAUUACAAACGGACCCUCAAUCAAUUAAUAGAGAACGAUUACACUGAAAAGUUUGACACUAUAAGGGAUCACAAAGACAUAUCAUUACAGUAGUAGAGCAAUUUACCAUGACAUUAGAUUAUUCACACAAAAUUUCUCAUUAAGAGCAGAUGAAAAGCUUCAAUAGCAUCAGACAAAUACAAACACACUAUAUGCAGUGUGUGUACAGAACAAAUAUAAGUUGCAAAUUCUCUGUUAUGCGCAAUCAAGUAUUGUUCUAAGAAUGCAGUAUGAAAUGGAACACGAAAACUUCGAACAAAUUCACUAGAACUGAAUUCGAUCUACUGAUACUUGGCAUUCUCAUUCUACAUCUUCACCACGAUAAUCACUACUACAUAUAUAUGAAUGCAAAGGAAGUAAAUAGAGAUAUAUGUAUGUAUAUAUGUAUGUACACUCUGCUUUGAAUCCUCAAGAUAGGGUGAUGAAGUGUUGCAGUGAACUGACCAAGCUUGGAGGCCAAUGCUUAGUCUCUUUAACAUACGACAGAUCGAUGUAGUGCGGAUCCAAUACAGUGGCUAUUAGGGCAAUAACCAGAACGAUUGCGGGAGAAACCAAACUACAAACGAAUUGAAGAGCUCAUCGUUUUAGAUACGGAUUUCGNUCUUUCUUUCUCUCUCUCUCUCUCUAUAUAUAUAUAUAUAGUAAAACAAAAAUAUUUUUGAUAGUAAAAAAAAUAGUGUUUGCUAUUAUUUUUUUUUUCCCAUUGAAUGUGUAGGAUGUAAACAUCUUUCAAAUUUUUUCUUUGUACACUCAAUCAUAUUUUUUAUAUUUAUUAUUUAUUUUAUUAUAUUUAUAUAAUUAAAAUAUGAUUAUUUAUUAUAUUAUUUUUAAAAUAUAUUCUAUCGCAUUGGUACUUUUAAUAACGAAAGAUUCGACUACAGAAAAUAAAAGAUCGAAAACCGAAUUUCUUUUUUCAAAAAGAAAUGCAUUGGGCCCUUUAUUGUGUGUUCCUCACUAUAUUGUGGAUGUGUUAGACAACAAAAUAAAUUUUUACGUGAAACUGAAUAGAAAUUAAAGAAUAAAAACCAAAAUAGUUUACUUUAAAUUAUAGAAAAAUUACUAUAUCAUAUGGAAGCUUUUGAAAAUUUACUUUUAAAACGUGAAGAUGAUUAUAAAAAUGUUGCCUUUCUUUUUAUAAGUCAGGACAAAUUUGUUGACCACAGUAGUAGUCGAAGCAAUGUUGAUGACUAAUUUGAAGAAUAAAAAAAAAAAAAAAAGCUUUUACUUGGCUCUAUAUCGUGACACAACAACAUCAUGCUCCACUUUAUAACUAAAUAUUAAGCUUAAUUACACUCUGAUACCUUAAACCUUUUCUUUCGCAAAUUUUAAUUUAUUAUAAUUUUUAAUUCGAAUUUAAAAAAUUAUAAUCAAAUUUACAAUUUAAUUUAGAUGACUGAAUAUUAAUAUGUCGUUAAUGUAGAAGUAAUGUGGCACGUUAACAUUUAAUCAGCGAAGUUUGGUUUGUGGACUUGAUUAUAAUAAAAUAAAAACUCGAGUGAGAAAUUAUAAUAAAUUAAAGUAUGAAAAUUGAGUGUGACACGCCUUUUGUAACUUAGCUAAAUAUUAAUAUUAAAAGCUUAAAAAGUUUUUUUAAAAAAAUUUAAGUAAUUAAAGAGACCAGCACAACUUCUAGAGGAGUGAGUCAGCUAAUCGAAAAUUCUAAAUGGGUAUAGUUGGAAGCUAAGAUGAGUGGGAAAAACUAUGCAAGAUUAUAUAAUUAGUUAAUUACAAAGUUAAAAUAAUAAUAAUAAAAAUGGUAGAUUUGGUAAUUAAAUUCGUGCUGAUAAGUUAAUACGCAGAUUAUCUGAGCGAAGAAAGAGAGUGUUAGACGUAAUUAAAAAUUAUUCUAUGGUUACGUAUUUGGGUCAAAUAAUCAAAUGUAAAUAAACUAAUAUAAUGACAUUAAUAUAUAAUGGGUAAAACAUACCGACAAAAUAUAUAUAUAGAUUAUUUCGCAUGAUUAUUUUUACUUAAAUUAAUAUUUGAUUGUACAUAAUUAGGGGCCGUUUGGCUAGAUGCAGUUGCAGAAAUAGUAUAAUUGAAAGUACAUGCAGUUAUAAAUACUGCAGUCGUAACUACACCAGGCUGUUUGGUUUUAUACAGUUGCAAUGGCUGCCGUUAUAUUUUUGGUAGACUUCAGUUGAGAUUUGUAUUUGUAAAUCCUGUCACUUUUAGAUAGAAAGGUAAAAUUAUCUCUUUUGAAUAUAAUAUAAUCAUGAGAUCCUUUAAUUAUUAAUUAAGACUUUUAUAUCUAUAUAUAAUUUACAUAUUAUAAAAUUAUGUAUGAAUUUAAUAAAUUUUAAAUAGAAAUAUAUUAUAAAUUUGAUUAAAAUAAAAAUUAAGAUAUUAUUGAAUGAGUAUAUUGGGAAAAAUAGAAGCGUAUGAAAAAAAUUUAUUGGACCACAACAGGCAUUAUUGAACCUUAGCAACUUUCGUGAAUAGGCAUUCUUGGGGAAAAAAAAGUAAAAAAAAAAAGCCUAUGAAAAAAAAAAUCACACUAUUUUCUCUUAAUAGGUGAGCUGAUUUCGGCAACUGCAGCCGUUGGGCUUUUUCAUGCAGAUACAACUACAGCAGUUGAGCCUAAUUAUAUUAAAUUAAAUAAAAAUUUAAUAGAUGUAUACAUUUUCAACUGCGCUGCAGGUGAAAAUGCAUGCAGCCAAACAACUCCUUAUUACUGCAUAAAAAUUCCUGCUAUAUACAAAUUUAAAAAUAGAAUUUGAGUUCAAGUGUUACAGUUGGAACUGUAUAUAUAGCAUUGAUAGUAAUAACAAUUAAUCAAAUUAUCUUACCUGCUACUCUCUUUCUUGGAUUCAAGAAAUGUAGAACCUUAAACCCAGGAGCUGCAAAAAAGAGAGAGAGAGAGAGAGAGAGAGAGAGAGUGAUAAGUUGAGAAGAGAGAGAAAAUGUUAAGGGAAAGUUAGAGGAGAAGGUGUAGAGUUAGAGGGGGUAUUUAUAGUGGCGGAGCAUAACGGAAUCUGUAUACGGAAUAUUACUGCGCCGUCAUUUUCGUCGGGGUCCACCGGUCAACGCUGUUUGACGGCGUUAGCAUGUAACGUACUACCCGGGCACACGACGCGCCACCUCAAACGCGCGCAGUUGUUCCGUUCCCACGAGCAUAUUUGUUUCAAACCAAAUUAUCAAACUAAACAAAUUUAUAUUUUAUACCGAACCAUCCCUAUUGCAAAUAGCAAAAGAUUUAAUAGUUGAUACCCGAAAUUUUAAAUUUGAAUAUUAAUUGAUUCAUAUUUUUAACUAAGUUUAUUUUUAAAUAAAGUAAACGAAACGGGUAGCGUGCUACCUAUCUCUCAAAAUUUUUUUUAAUAUAUUUAAAAAGUAUGAGUUAGAUCCUAUAUUUUCAAAAGUACGGCGAACUCCGUACUUGUAAGUUAUUUUUGAUGAUGCGACGUUCGAUUCGGAGAUCGAUUCAACUAGACAUGAUUUACACUAUUAAAACUAUCUAGAAAUCAAAUUUUAUAAUUAUUUUACUUUAUUUGGCUAGUAAAUGAGUAGCUUUAGAAUGAACGACUGAAAAUAAAAAUUUCAUAAAAGACUGAAAUUUUAAAUCAGAAAUAUUAAUUCCGCUAUUGAUGUUAAGUAAAAUUUUUUAUUAAAGUUUCAUAUAAUUUUGAUUGUUCUACGCCGUUGAACUUAAAAAUGUACCAUAUUGACUGUUAAAAUAGUUAUUUUUGAGAUCUUUUUGAUCACUUAGUAAACUAUAUCAAAAAAUUAUGAAAUUUGGUUGAUAGAUAAUUCCAAUAGCGUAGAUUAUGCCUAACGGAGCUAAUCGUCAAAUCAAAUAUUUUAUCAUCGAAAACAACUUACAAAUAUGGAGACCUCCCUACUUUCAAAAACACAAGAGACAUACUCUAACAAGUAUUAUUAUAAUUAUAAAAAAUUAGUUUUUAAAAAAAUUAUUAUAAAUUAUGCGAUGAAUAAUUCACCGCUUAAAUUUAAUUUUAUAAUCAGCUCGUACUCGACGUAGGAGCAUCGGAUUGCGACGAGACUUGGUUCGUUGGAUUCGGAACUUCGAGAGGAAUCCACAAAGCCCUUACUUGCCGGAUUUGGUGAAGGUUAGCUUGGUCGAAUCCCUUUUCUACUCUGUUGCUGUGAAAUUCGGACUGAAUUGGUGGAUUUUGAUCGUAGAGCUUGGAGUUAGCUCGAGUGCUAGACUUGGAGGGUUCCAGUUGAUCCAGCAGGGAUCACUUUGGUUCGAGGCUUCAUUCGCUGCCAGGAGCUAGCUUUUUGAGGUGGGUUACAUCGGUUUUGACUCCUAAGUUCUAAUCGUCGACAUGUAUAAUUUUGGUAUAGUCUAUUCUAGCUCGAAUUUAUGAAUUAUAUUGUAGAUUGCAAAUCUGAAUUUGGAGCAUGUGGUAAUAAGUUGUUAUACAUGUUGAACUUGGAAUUUGACUUAGAAGAAAACCUGCGAUUUGGACCUGUCACUUGUUUAAACUGCCUGAUUUAGCUCUAGGAGCCGUUAUAAAAUUGUACUGUCGCAGUAUCUUUGAGACGAGUACUCCAGAUAGUUUAGAAUGCAUUUACGCUCGUGUUGGUACGCCGAGUGGGUUUUUACAGGGUCAUUUGGCUGUUUCGGACUUUUGGGCGCCGUUGGAGUUGAUGGUGAGCCCGGUUCGCCGUUUUGGCGUCAGAUUGUGCCGAGGGCACGU
rnacentral:lncRNA from 1 species